rnacentral:lncRNA from 1 species
AGAAAAGUGGCAAAGUGAGCCUCACACAGUUGAACCCCAAGGACGCAAUCCUCUUGGAGAUGAGGUCAACUGGGUGGUUGCUGAGGCCCUCCGCCACCGCUGCUUCCUGAUGCGACGGCCAAUUCACGCAUGCCAGCUUCACCCGGGCGCCAUCUUCGUCUACUAUCCACCUUGAAUUGGUGUAUAGUGGCAGAGCCACUACAGGCUUCAGAGGUAGAAGACAUAGAAUAGAUAGAAAGAAGGACAAGAAGAAGAACCUCCCCAUCUGGAUUUGCAUUGACUGCUUGAUGGGUAGAUGGAAUGAGACAUAGUAUUGUAUUUAUAGGGUGGGGGCCCUUGUUUGUUUUUUCUUUUAAAAUUCCUUUUUUUUUUCUUUCUUCCCCACAUUAUGUUUUACUAGACCAAAUUCAUAUAUACAGUGAAAAAUGAUCAUAUAUUCAAAUAGUCAGCAUGUCUUUGAAUUGCUUUAUAAAAAUAUUAAAAAUUUAAGUUUUUUAUUUAAUUAAAAAAUAAAAAAAUUAAGUGUCAGAAAAUAAAUUUGUUUUUUUAUACCUCUAUCUAUUAAUUUUCAAUUUUAUACAAUAUUCAUAUCUUAUUUAUUUUAUAUAAACACAAAAAUUUAUUAUUCAUGAAUAAUCUCAAUCCCAAUCCCAUCAAAUUCUCACCAUCCAUUUACAUACAAAUAUUGAUUAGGGUUAAAUUCUUUGGUUGAUAGAUUUUGAAUUUAUCGUCUUUUCCACCGUGUUUCUUCCUAACAUGUCAAUAUUUUCUUCAAACCCAUCAUCUAAAUAACUCAUUAUUUGCAUGAUCCUUGAGUUAUACGAGUGAUUCACAUCGAAUGAAAGGUUUGAAAAUACUUUCUCUCGAUUAAUUUUCAUUGAUAUGAAAUACAUGUAUACAUACAAUAUACAACUGACUUUUUAGUGUAUCACUUCCUAUAAUUAUGAUGACUACUUUACAAUAGUAAACCGAUUUUAAAACAAAUGAAAUCAAAUAUUUAUGUAAUAUUCAAAAUGUUUAUAUAAUAUUCCAAAAUAAUCAACUAUUCUAUUUAGGGAUGAUAAUGAGUCAGGUUUUUUUGGGUACCCGUCUCACUCCAUCUCUAAUAAGACGGGGUUCAAUUUUAAUAAACAGGUUUGAGAAUUUUUUUUAAACCCGGGAUGGGUUCGGGUAUUGUCCUGUCUCGAUUAUAUAUAAAAUUAAAAUUUAAAAUUAAUUUAAUUUAAUUUUUAUUUCAUUAUUUUUAAUAUAUAGAUAAUAAUAAAAUAUUUUUAAUAAAUUAAGUUAUAAAAAAUAUAAUAAUUUAAUUAUUUAUAAAAUAUAUUUAUUUUAAUGUAAUUAAAAAUUUUAAAAAUAAUUUUUAAAAAAUACAAUUAAAAAAAAAAAGUUAAACGGCACGAGGGGUAUAAAAUUUUAUCAUACUCAUUCCUCCUUAUUUAAUUUUUUAAAUAGGACGAGAAUGAAAAUUAUUUUGAAUAAACGAAAUAGGGUUGGAUGACCUGUUGCCUUCCCUAAUCCUACUAAAAAGUCUCCAACAUGCCCCGCGAAAUGCUUACAAUCGUUGAGCAAUUGUAAUCAAUGAUCUUAACUUUCUUUUAUAAGGGGAAAGCGACAUUUUGAGAUGAAAUCUAUCCCGGGGGAUUUUCAUCUAAAACCUAGGAGUCUUAUCAUAUUCCCACAACAAUGCAUACACUGAAUUCAUUCAAAUAAGGAUGGGGUUUUUUCUUCAUAUUUAUUUGCAUAUUGUGGACUAUGAAUAGCAUUAUAAUUGGCGUUGGAAACACGCCAAGUUGCAGAACAUGGAAGUCAAAUAUUUGCUUGGAACUUUGGGGUUUGGAAAACUUGCAAGGCAAACCACAUCUACUUGGUUUCCCAUUGCUUUUUGUUUUUGCAUCUCAGCCUUUUGUUUAAUUCUUUUAAGCAAGUGAAUUUUAUACUUCUAUACUAUAAUUUAAAUUUUAAAAAUAAGUGUUUGAUGAUUUAAAUUUUCCUUUCAACAAAAUAUUAAAGAAUAAUUUAAAAAAAUACUUUUAAAUUCACUUUAAUUUUUCCUCAUUCUUACUUGUAGUUAUUAAUUAAUUUUUAUUUAUCCAUUAAAAAACCAUUGAUCAUUUAUGAAUAAUAAUAAGUAAUAAAUAAUAAAUAAUAAAUUAAAUUAGUGAUUUCUAUAAUAUAUAUAUAUAUAUAUAUAUAUAUGACAGAGACAAGAAGAGGUGAAUAAGAGGAAAUGAGGAUAGGGUUGGGGUGGGUUUUGGAGCAUUUUUACAUCCCUAUUUGUAAGUUUUGAAAGUUCCACGACAAUGCCAAUGGCUGUAGACCCUCUAUUUUGUCUUUCUCACACAUGUCGUUUAUAGCAAUUUCCUGGUGGCCCAUUAAUACUCGUGUAACCUAUCUUUUCUAAGCUACCUCGGAGACUUUGGUUGAGGGAUUAUCUGACCCCUUAUUGUGACCCUUGGCAGCCCUAACUUAGACUUAGGUUUUUCUUGCUUUUUUUUUAGGAUAGCUUUUAGGCACCCUAGGCCCACUUAGGCACCCUAGGCCCAUUUAGGUAACCCUAGGUCCAUUUAGGUAUCCCUAGGCCCAUUUAGGUAACCCUAGGUCCAUUUAGGUAUCCCUAGGCCCAUUUAGGUACACUUGGCCCAUUAGGCAUCACUUUAGGCCCAUUUAGACACUUUAGGCCCACUUAGUUACCUUAGGCCCACUUAGAUCACUUUAGGCCCAUUUAGUCACCCUAGGCCCAUUUAGCCACCCUAGACCCAUUUAGGUACACUUAGCCCAUUAGGCAUCACUUUAGGCCCAUUUAGACACUUUAGGCCCACUUAGUUACCUUAGGCCCACUUAGAUCACUUUGGGCCCAUUUAGCCACCCUAGGCCCAUUUAGGUAACCCUAGGCCCAUUUAGGCACACUUGGCCCAUUAGGCAUCACUUUAGGCCCAUUUAGACACUUUAGGCUCACUUAGUCACCCUAGGCCCACUUAGAUUACUUUAAGCCCAUUUAGGUACACUUGGCCCAUUAGGCAUCACUUUAGGCCCAUUUAGACACUUUAGGCCCACUUAGAUCACUUUAGGCCCAUUUAGGCACCCUAGACCCACUUAGUACACCCUAAGCCCAUUAGACGCACCUAGCCCAUUUGGUGUCACCCCAAGCCCACUUAGGCACCUUAGGUUCACUUAGAUACACCCUAGGCACCUUAGACCUACUUAAGCACCACCCUAAGCCCACUUAGGCACCCUAGGACGAUUUAGGCACUUUAGGCCCACUUAGGCACCUUAAGUCAAUUUAGGCACCAAUAGAAAGAUAAGAAACUGCCUAUGAUGUGAAGCUUGGAGUGGGUAGCUACCAUAUUGGUUCCAAGAGUAGACAUAUGGAAAAAAUGAAUGGAGCCAUGUUAUGGGGAAGAUUCAGCUUAUGUAUGAAAAAAGAAAUGAUGAGCAGCAAAGAAGGUAAUGUAAUUUGUCUUUUGGAAAAAGAAUCACAUGAUGAUGGAAGGAGGAUUCAGUAGUGUUUUGGGUCAAAGCAUAUUUUAAACGGAAAAGGAAAAGAGAUGAUAUAUUUUAGGAAGAAUUGAGGUGGCAUAUUGAAUAGACAGACUGUAUUUUGCAAGAAAGAGAGCAGAGGGAAUUCAGAGAAGGAAAGAAAAGUCAACUCACAUGCAAAAAAUGGAGGAAAGGCGUGAUGAAAGGGAUUGAGGUUUUUUUUUUUUGGGGAAUAUGAGAGACAAUUGAGGAGGGAGAAGGAGGAUUUUUUUUUUUAGAGGAGAGCCGGAAGAUAGAUGGGAGACAUCUUAGGGAGAAAAAACAAAAGAGUUUUGGAAGAAUUUUGGUUGAUUUUUUGAACGAGAUUCAGAAGAAAAUUAUAGACAUGGAGAUCACGUUUCCGGGUGGAACUUCUAAAGAACGCAUAGGCUGAUUCGGGGACUCUUUGUGGUGAAGGAACACGCGAGUCAGAUCGAAGAAGCGGACACAACUAGACUGAGAAGAAAAAGUGACACAACCGUGAAAGAGGGUAGCUGCAAGCAAGGAAAGGAAAUGAAAUCAUGGACGGUUAUAAUAGGAUUUAAUGUCUUCCGGUGAGUGUUUUGUUGGAUUUAAUGUAUUUAUAUGAGAUGUGUUAAUGAUUGUUUGAACAAAAUAUAAAUUAAGUUAGGAUUUUUAGUUUUUUUUUUUUGUUUUUUAAUUUAUUUUAUUUAUUUUAUUUUAGUUAUCAUUAUUAUUAUUGCUAAUCUCAUGUUACUUUUUGUAGGCAUUUGUCUUGGAUGAUUCGGGCUGAUAGUUUAAAAAUUAGAUGUUUUAUUCGUUUUGGAUAAUUUUGUGAUGUUAAUGAAAAGUUGAAAUAUUUUGCAAGUUUUUUUAGUUUUCAAUAAUUUGGAUAUUAAUGAAAAGUUAUAUUGUGCUUUUUUUUUUUUUUAGCUUUGGGAUAAUUCCUGAUAAUUGUUUGAAUAAAAUAUAAACCAAGUUAGGAUUUUUAGUUUUUUUUUGUUUUUGAAUUUAUUUUGUUUAUUUUAUUUUAGUUAUCAUUAUUAUUAUUGUUAAUCUCAUGUUACUUUUUGUAGGCAUUUGUCUUGGAUGAUUCGAGAUGAUAGUUUAAAAAUUAGAUGUUUUAUUAGUUUUGGAUAAUUUUGUGAUGUUAAUGAAAAGUUGAAAUAUUUUGCAAGUUUUUUUUUAGUUUUCAAUAAUUUGGAUAUUAAUGAAAAUUUAUAUUGUGCUUAAUUUUUAGUUUUGGGAUAAUUCCUGAUGAUGAUGAAGAAGUUUGAAUUUUUAAGUGUUUUGAUAAUUUUUAUGAUAGCUUUGUUCAAAAAUAAAAAAUAAAAAGUCGUAAUAUUUAAAUUAUUUUAAACAUUUUUUGUUCUCUUGGAUUAAAAUAUAAAAUAAUUGUCUAUCUUAUUUAAAAAUUUUAUUAUGUUUUAAAAAAAUAAAAAAAAAAUUAUGUGCUUUCUAAAUAAAGAGUUGUGGAAAUCAUCCUCUUGUAAAUAAAAUAAAGUAAAAAAAAAAUUAUUAAAGAAAAAUUUAAAUUAUAAAAGAUUUUCUUACAUUAAAAAAAAUAUUUUAAAAUUGUCAAAUAUAUUUUUUAUGAGGUUUUAUUAUUAUUAACAUUAUUAAUUAAUUAAUUUUUUUUUUCUCUUUUUGGUAAAUGAAUUUUUUGAAAGCAUUUUCUUUACAUGGAAUUAAAGCCAUUUUAUUUAAGUAAAUUGAAACUUCCUUUUAUAAGAUUAACUAAAACUAUGGACUCAAUUAUUACUAUUAUUAUUAUAAUUUUAAUACUCAUGAAAUAUUUCCUUUAUAAAAGUGAUAAUUACAUUUAUUUUCUUGUGAAUGAACUUUUUAAAAACAUUUCCUUUGCAUGGAAUUAAAGUCUUUUUAUUUAAAUAAAUUAAAGCUUCUUUUUAUAAAUAAAAUUCAUUAAAACUAUGGAAUCAAUUAUUGUUAUUAUUAUCAUUAUUUUUAAUACUUAUGAAAUAUUUCCUUUAUAAAAGUGAUAAUAUUUAUUUUCUUGUGAACAAACUUUUUUAAAAAAAAUAUUUUAUUUGCAUGAAAUUAUAGCCUUCUUAUUUAAGUGAAUCAAAACUUCCUUUUAUGAAUACAAUUCAUUAAAACUGUCGAAUAAAUAUUUUUUUUAAUACUCAUGAAUUUUUUAUUUUUUUAUUUUUUUAUUUUUAUUUUUACGAAAGUAAUAACAUUUAAUUCCAAGCUAUAUUUGUGUAUAUCAAUUGGGGAAUUGGUGAAACCCCUACAUAAAAUCAUCUUUUUAAAACUCAUCUUUAUUGUCACCCUUGCCAUUUAUUGAAAUCAUAUCUAUUUUUUUAGGAAUUAUAUACAAGAUGUAUGUGAUAAUUGAUGAUUUUGUAUACUUUGAUCACUUUUGCUAUGCUAAGUAGAUAACGAGCAUGCUAGGAUUUCUAUAUUUUAUUAUUUAUUAUCUAACCCCUUACAACUUGAGGAAGCACGUUACAAAUUAUCUAUGCUAUCUAAGUAUGUCCUCUAUCACCUACUUUCUGAAUUCUGUGAAUACGCUUGUCAUUGUGAAAUAAUGCUUAUGUCUAAUAAUGCUUGAGUGUUCUGAUAUACAUGUUUCAUUGUUUGAUUAUUUCUAAUAAAAUACAUGCUGGAUGAUAUAUUGUUUAAAUUAACCAUUGAUGUUUUAUGAUAGCGCUUGAGAAGCGGUCCAGGUACGCAUCCUAACCUUCCUUUAUUAUGAUUUGAUCUUGUUUGACAUGCUAUUUUUUGGAAUCAUCUAGCCUACUUAGGUAUCCAUAAUUAACCGGUUAAUUGCCACAUUCCCCUUAACUUAGUUAGUAGAGACCUUUAUAGGGCUUAGAGGGGUGCUACCUUUUAAAGGUACCUUCCCAAUAGGUAACCUAAUCCCCGGACUUAGACUCGGUGUGGACCCGCAUUUCUCACGUGCGUCCCCACUCGAUCGGGGAGACUCGCUUUUUAUUUGUGAAAAAAAUAUUUAGUUUUGGAAAAGUUGGAGCCGCCACUUAUUUUAUUUUUAUUUUAAAGGGAAAAUAAAACAAGAAAGAAAAACCCUAAAAUGUGACUCCAUAAUUUUUGGAAAAAAGCAUGUCUUUGAAAAACCCGAGUCUAAGUCCGGGGAUCAGGUUACCUAUUGGGAAGGAAUGUGGCAAUUAACCGGUUAAUUAUGGAUACCUAAGUAGGCUAGAUGGUUCCAAAAAAUAGCAUGUCAAACAAGAUCAAAUCAUAAUAAAGGAAGGUUAGGAUGCGUACCUGGACCGCUUCUCAAGCGCUAUCAUAAAACAUCAAUGGUUAAUUUAAACAAUAUAUCAUCCAGCAUGUAUUUUAUUAGAAAUAAUUAAACAAUGAAACAUGUAUAUCAGAACACUCAAGCAUUAUUAGACAUAAGCAUUAUUUCACAAUGACAAGCAUAUUCACAGAAUUCAGAAAGUAGGUGAUAGAAGACAUACCUAGAUAGCAUAGAUAAUUUGUAACGUGCUUCCUCAAGUUGUAAGGGGUUAGAUAAUAAAUAAUAAAAUAUAGAAAUCCUAGCAUGCUCGUUAUCUAAUUAGCAUAGCAAAAGUGAUCAAAGUAUACAAAAUCAUCAAUUAUCACAUACAUCUUGUAUAUAAUUCCUAAAAAAAUAGAUAUGAUUUCAAUAAAUGGCAAGGGUGACAGUAAAGAUGAGUUUUAAAAAGAUGAUUUUAUGUAGGGGUUUCACCAAUUCCCCAAUUGAUAUACACAAAUAUAGCUUGGAAUUAAAUGUUAUUACUUUCGUAAAAAAAUUAAAAAAUAAAAAAUAAAAAUUCAUGAGUAUUAAAAAAACAUUUAUUCGAUAGUUUUAAUGAAUUGUAUUUAUAAAAGGAAGUUUUGAUUUACUUAAAUAAGAAGGCUUUAAUUUCAUGCAAAGAAAAUAUUUUUUUAAAAAAAGUUUGUUCACAAGAAAAUAAAUGUUAUCACUUUUAUAAAGGAAAUGUUUCAUAAGUAUUAAUAAUAAUAAUAAUAAUAAUAACAAUAAUUGAUUCCAUAGUUUUAAUGAAUUUUAUUUAUAAAAAAUAAGCUUUAAUUUAUUUAAAUAAAAAGACUUUAAUUCCAUGCAAAGGAAAUGUUUUUAAAAAACUCAUUCACAAGAAAAUAAAUGUAAUUAUCACUUUUAUAAAGGAAAUAUUUCAUAAGUAUUAAAAAUAAUAAUAAUAAUAAUAAUAAUGAUAAUUGAUUCCAUAGUUUUAAUGAAUUUUUUUUUAAAAAAAAAAGUUUUAAUUUAUUUAAAUAAAAAGACUUUAAUUCCAUGCAAGAAAAUAUUUUUAAAAAGUUCAUUCACAAGAAAAUAAAUGUAAUUAUCACUUUUAUAAAGGAAAUAUUUCAUGAGUAUAAUAAUAAUAAUAGUAAUAAUUGAUUCCAUAGUUUUAAUUAAUCUUAUAAAAGGAAAUUUCAAUUUACUUAAAUAAAAAAAGGCUUUAAUUCCAUGCAAAGAAAAAAGUUUAUUCACAAGAAAAUAAAUGUUAUCACUUUUAUAAAGGAAAUAUUUUAUGAGUAUUAAUAAUAACAAUAAUAAUAAUAAUUGAUUCCGUAGUUUUAAUGAAUUUUAUAAAAGGAAGUUUUAAUUUAUUUAAAAAAAGACUUUAAUUCCAUGUAAAGAAAAUGCUUUCAAAAAAUUCAUUGACAAAAAAGAGAAAGAAAAAAAAAUUAAUUAAUUAAUAAUGGUAAUAAUAAUAAAACCUCAUAAAAAAUAUAUUUGACAAUUUAAAAACAUUUUUUUUAAUGGAAGAAUAUCUUUUAUAAUUUAAAUUUUUCUUUAAUAAUUUUUUUUAACUUUAUUUUAUUUACAAGAGGAUGAUUUCCACAACUCUUUAUUUAGAAAGCACAAAAAAUUUUAUUAUUUUUUAUUAUUUUUUUAAAACAUAAUAAAUUUUUUAAAUAAGAUAAACAAUUAUAUGUUAAUCCAAGAGAACAAAAAAAUGUUUAAAAUAAUUUAAAUAUUACAACUUUUUAUUUUUGAAUUUUGAACAAAGCUAUCAUAAAAAUUAUCAAAACACUUAAAAAUUCAAACUUUUUCAUCAUCAUCAAGAAUUAUCCCAAAACUAAAAAUUAAGCACAAUAUAAAUUUUCAUUAAUAUCCAAAUUAUUGAAAACUAAAAAAACUUGCAAAAUAUUUCAACUUUUCAUUAGCAUCACAAAAUUAUUCAAAAUGAAUAAAACAUCUAAUUUUUAAACUAUCAUCCCGAAUCAUCCAAGACAAAUGCCUACAAAAAGUAACAUGAGAUUAGCAAUAAUAAUAAUGAUAACUAAAAUAAAAUAAACAAAAUAAAUUCAAAAAAACAAAAAAAAAAAACUAAAAAUCCUAACUUGAUUUAUAUUUUAUUCAAACAAUCAUCAAGAAUUAGCCCAAAGCUAAAAAAAAAAAUAAGCACAAUAUAACUUUUCAUUAAUAUCCAAAUUAUUGAAAACUAAAAAAAAAACUUGCAAAAUAUUUCAACUUUUCAUUAACAUCACAAAAUUAUCCAAAGCGAAUAAAACAUCUAAUUUUUAAACUAUCAUCCCGAAUCAUCCAAGACAAAUGCCUACAAAAAGUAACAUGAGAUUAACAAUAAUAAUAAUGAUAACUAAAAUAAAAUAAAUUCAAAAACCAAAAAAAACUAAAAAUCCUAACUUAAUUUAUAUUUUGUUCAAACAAUCAUUAACACAUCUCAUAUAAAUACAUUAAAUCCAACAAAACACUCACCGGAAGACAUUAAAUCCUAUUAUAACCGUCCAUGAUUUCAUUCCCUUUCCCUUAACAAAUAAAUAAAAACAUGACAAUAGCAUCAUUCACAUCAGGACUGACCAUAUAUUCACAUUCGUUUGCAUUUUAAAUCCAACAAAACGAAGUCAAAUAACACUAACCUUGCUUGCAGCUACCCUCUUUAACGGUUGUGUCACUUUUUCUUCUCAGUCUAGUUGUGUCCGCUUCUUCGAUCUGGCUCGCGUGUUCCUUCACCACAAAGAGUCCCCGAAUCAGACUAUGCGUCCUUUAGAAGUUCCACCCGGAAACGUGAUCUCCAUGUCUAUAAUUUUCUUCUGAAUCUCGUUCAAAAAAUCAACCAAAAUUCUUCCAGAACUCUCUUUUUUUUCUCCCUAAGACGUCUCCCAUCUAUCUUUCGGCUCUCCUCUCAAAAAAAAAUCCUUCUUCUCCCUCCUCAAUUGUCUCUCAUAUUCCCCAAAAAAAAAACCUCAAUCCCUUUCAUCACGCCUUUCCUCCCCUUUUUUGCAUGUGAGUUGACUUUUCUUUCCUUCUCUGAAUUCCCCCUGCUCUCUUUCUUGCAAAAUACAGUAUGUCUAUUCAAUAUGCCACCUCAAUUCUUCCUAAAAUAUAUCAUCUCUUUUCCUUUUCCGUUUAAAAUAUGCUUUGACCCAAAACACUACUGAAUCCUCCUUCCAUCAUCAUGUGAUUCUUUUUCCAAAAGACAAAUUACAUUACCUUCUUUGCUGCUCAUCAUUUCUUUUUUCAUACAUAAGCUGAAUCUUCCCCAUAACAUGGCUCCAUUCAUUUUUUCCAUAUGUCUACUCUUGGAACCAAUAUGGUAGCUACCCACUCCAAGCUUCACAUCAUAGGCACUUUCUUAUCUUUCUAUUGGUGGACUUCCUACAAAAUUUCAAAGUUAAUAAAGUAAUAGUAAUAAUAAUAAUAAUAAUAAUAAUGAAAACUUUUAAACAAAAUUAUUAAAUUAAAUUAAAUAAGUAAAGACAAGUAUUAGGGAAAAGUGAUAAAAUAAUAGGAAAAUAAAAUAAAUGAAGAAAUAUACAAAUUAAUAAAUAAAAUAAAAUAAACAAAAAUAUAAGAGUAAAAAAAAAAAUUCAAGCAAUGUGAUUUUACAAAAACGAGUCUUGCAAGUCAUACAAGCCAUGCAACCAUGCCCAUGCAAAAAAAAUGAUCUAAAUGGGCCUAAGGUGCCUAAAUGGGCCUAGAAUGCCUAAAUUGGCCUAAGGUGCCUAAAUGGGCUUAAGGUGUCUAAAUGGGCCUAGGGUGCCUAAAUGGGCCUAAGGUGCCUAAAAGGGCCUAUGGUGCCUAAAUUGACUUAAGGUGCCUAAGUGGGCCUAAAGUGCCUAAAUCGUCCAAGGGUGCCUAAGUGGGCUUAGGGUGGUGCUUAAGUAGGUCUAAGGUGCCUAGGGUGUAUCUAAGUGAACCUAAGGUGCCUAAGUGGGCUUGGGGUGACACCAAAUGGGCUAGGUGCGUCUAAUGGGCUUAGGGUGUACUAAGUGGGCCUAGGGUGCCUAAAUGGGCCUAAAGUGAUCUAAGUGGGCCUAAAGUGUCUAAAUGGGCCUAAAGUGAUGCCUAAUGGGCCAAGUGUACCUAAAUGGGCCUAAAGUAAUCUAAGUGGGCCUAGGGUGACUAAGUGAGCCUAAAGUGUCUAAAUGGGCCUAAAGUGAUGCCUAAUGGGCCAAGUGUGCCUAAAUGGGCCUAGGGUUACUUAAAUGGGCCCAAAGUGAUCUAAGUGGGCCUAAAGUAACUAAAUGGGCCUAAAGUGUCUAAAUGGGCCUAAAGUGAUGCCUAAUGGGCCAAGUAUACCUAAAUGGGCCUAGGGAUACCUAAAUGGGCCUAGGGUGGCUAAAUGGGCCUAAAGUGAUCUAAGUGGGCCUAAGGUAACUAAGUGGGCCUAAAGUGUCUAAAUGGGCCUAAAGUGAUGCCUAAUGGGCCAAGUGUACCUAAAUGGGCCUAGGGAUACCUAAAUGGACCUAGGGUUACCUAAAUGGGCCUAGGAUGCCUAAGUGGGCCUAGGGUGCCUAAAAGCUAUCUUAAAAAAAAAGCAAGAAAAGCCUAAGUCUAAGUUAGGGCUACCAAGGGUCACAAUAAGGGGUCAGAUAAUCCCUCAACCAAAGUCUCCGAGGUGGCUUAAAAAAGAUAGGUUACACGAGUAUUAAUGGGCCACCAAGGAAUUGCUAUAAACGACAUGUGCGAAGAAGACAAAAUAGAGGGUCUACACUCGGGUUUUUCAAAGACAUGUUUUUUUCCAAAAAUUAUGGAGUCACAUUUUAGGGUUUUUCUUUCUUGUUUUAUUUUCCCUUUAAAAUAAAAAUAAAAUAAGUGGCGGCUCCAACUUUUCCAAAACUAAAUAUUUUUUCACAAAUAAAAAGCGAGUCUUGCCGAUCGAGUGGGGACGCAUGUGAGAAAUGCGGGUCCACAAUGGCAUACUACUUCCAUUUGCUAGACUUAACCAUUAUUAAGUAAUGUAAUUAAUUAUAUUUUCUGCAUAUGCUUAAUUGUAGGAAAUAUUAUUUUGUCUCUAGCCUUAACAUGUGUAUUAGUUGUUUUUGAUAUUUUUUACUGCAUUUUUAUAUCAUAUAAAUUUUAGUCACUAGUUAUUUUCAUUGAGCAUUGAAAUUCCAAAAUAUUCUUUAUUUCUAUUCUCUCUGCUUCCCUUUCUUCUAUAAGAUAUUGUUUUUGACUACUUACAACCCACAAGAUUUUGAUCAGCGGUGCGAGGUACGAGAUCCCAAGUACCAUUACGGAGUAGAGCAUCAAAUUCUUCUGACAUUGCUUGAUGCCAUCGAGGGUCCUUAAGGGCCUGGGAAACACAGGUGAGCUCAGUGAUGGGUUCGGUAGGGGUAGUGGCAAGCAUGGUCAGCUUUGUGGAUGGUUUGACAAUGUUGUUUUUGGCACGAGUGAUCAUGGAGUGGUGAUUAAGGGGAUUAACAAGGUGGAUUGGUGGUGGGUUCAAAGCCGGAAGUGGUAUUUGUCCAAGUGGUGGAGAAGAAGAUACAAUAGGUUGGCAUAGAGUCUUCAAAUUGAUGAAUAAUAGUUUUUCAUUGAUUAUUUCAUUCAUUCAUGUACAUAGUAUAUAUAGAGGGUAAUCACCAUUCUAAGAAUGGGAAAGAAUUAUACAAUGAAUGAAUGAUAUAAGGAAAGAACAACUAAUAUCCGAAUAUCUCAACAUUCCUAAUAUUUCAACUUUCCUAAUAUCUCAACAUUUCUAAUAUCUCAACACUCCCCCUCAAGUUGGUGCAUAGAUGUCACACAUGUCCAACUUGUCUAAAAAUUUUGAGAACACUCGACUUGACACUGUAGCUUUGGUGAGGAUAUCGGCCAAUUGAUCUUCUGAUAGAAUCUUAGGCAAUUCCACAAUCUUAUCAUCUAACUUCUCCUUAAUGAAGAAUCUGUCCACCUCGACAUGCUUUGUACAAUCAUGUUUUACUGGAUUAUGAGCAAUAUCACAUGCGGCUUUAUUGUCACAAAACAAUCGGAUUGGUUGCCUAGAUAGGUAACCUAAAUCCUAUAAGAGGAGUCUUAGCCAUAAUGUCUCACAAAGUCCUAGAGUUAUACCCCUAAAUUCCGCUUCUGCACUUGAAUGAGCGACGACAUUCUGCUUCUUACUUUUCCAUAUCACAAAAUUACCACCUACAAAGGUAAAGUAACCAGAUGUAGAUCACCUAUUAUCCACUGCACUGGCCUAAUCAGCAUUAGUAUAUACUUCUAUACUCUGAUGAUCAACAUUUUUAGUGAACAAAAUUCCCUUCCUAUGAGCAUUCUUCAAAUACCUCAAAAUACGCAUGACUGCAUUCAUAAAUUGCUCUCCAGGAUUAUGCAUGUAUUGACUUAGUACACUCAAUGCAUAAGCAAGAUCUGGUCUUGUAUGAGCUAAGUACACUAAUCUCCCCACAAGUCUCUGGUAUCUUCCCUUAUCAAUUGAUACUUGAUUAGGCUCACCACACAAUUUCAGACCUUCUUCUAUUGGCGUAUCAACAGGUUAACAUCUCGACAUUCCAGUCUCCUAUAAAAAAUCUAAGGCAUACUUUCUUUGAGACAGAAAAAUUCCUUCACUUGAUCGAGAAACUUCAAUCCCAAGAAAGUAUUUCAAAGAACCUAGAUCUUUCAUUUCGAAUUCUCUAGAUAAAUAAUUUUGCAGAGCUUUUCUUUAUUCAGGAUCAUUUCCUGUAACUACCAUGUCAUCCACAUAUACGAUGAGUGUUGUAAUCUUACCAUGUUACUUUUUCAGGAACAAAGUGUGAUCUAAAUUACUUUGACGAUAGCCAANNNNNNNNNNNNNNNNNNNNNNNNNNNNNNNNNNNNNNNNNNNNNNNNNNNNNNNNNNNNNNNNNNNNNNNNNNNNNNNNNNNNNNNNNNNNNNNNNNNNNNNNNNNNNNNNNNNNNNNNNNNNNNNNNNNNNNNNNNNNNNNNNNNNNNNNNNNNNNNNNNNNNNNNNNNNNNNNNNNNNNNNNNNNNNNNNNNNNNNNNNNNNNNNNNNNNNNNNNNNNNNNNNNNNNNNNNNNNNNNNNNNNNNNNNNNNNNNNNNNNNNNNNNNNNNNNNNNNNNNNNNNNNNNNNNNNNNNNNNNNNNNNNNNNNNNNNNNNNNNNNNNNNNNNNNNNNNNNNNNNNNNNNNNNNNNNNNNNNNNNNNNNNNNNNNNNNNNNNNNNNNNNNNNNNNNNNNNNNNNNNNNNNNNNNNNNNNNNNNNNNNNNNNNNNNNNNNNNNNNNNNNNNNNNNNNNNNNNNNNNNGCGAUAUCCCUUUUUGUGCAAUGCAUAUCCAACAAACACACAUUGCAAUGCACGGGAAGUUAACUUGGUACGUUGGUGUUUGUGUAGAUGCACAAAUGCCACGCAACCAAAAACAUGAGGAGGUAGAUUUAAGACGGUUGGGGCAACUACGACAUUAGUAAGAGGUUGGAGAAGUGUUUGGAAGUAAUUGAGAUGGAAGGUACCCGAUUGAUCAAGUAUACGACAGAUGUGAUUGCUUAUCCCGAAUAAGAUAUCGGUAUUUGUACUGCUAUCAAGGAAACACGAACAACCUCUAACAAGUGUCGAUUUUUCCGUUCAGCGACUCCAUUUUGCUGGUGUGUAUUGGAACAAGUAGUCUGAUAAAUGAUGUCAUGUCCUUCUAAAUAAUUUUGAAGAUCAGAACUCUGAUAUUCUCCACCAUUAUUGCUACAUAGAACCCGAACCUUUGCAUUGUACUGAGUUUCAAUCAUUUUAUGAAAUUUUUGAAACAACAAGUUCACUUCAUCUUUGGUCUUCAUCAAGCAUAACCAUGUCAUUCUAGUAUAAUCAUCAAUAAAAGUAACAAAUCAACGCAAACCACUCAAAGUUGGAACUUUGGAUGUGCCUCAAACAUCAGAAUAUAUAACCAUAAAAAGAAACGGACUUUUAUUCAAAUUUAACAGAAACAAAGCACGAUGGCUUUUAGCCAAUUCACAAACAUCACAACAGAAACCAGAAAUAUCACUAUUUGCAAAUAAACUAGGAAACAAUUUUUUUAAAUAACCAAAGGAAGCAUGUCCCAAACGUCGAUGCCAUAACCAAAUUUCAGACUUUUUCUUCUCCCUCUCAGAUCCAUCUGCCAUCAAGGUUUGUCGCAACUUAUUUGAAUCAUUUGACUGCAAGUCCAAGUAAUAGAGUUUUCCCCGCUUAAUACCACAACCAAUCGUCUCUCUUGUUUGGAUGUCCUUAAAAACACCAAAUUCAGGCCAAAAAAUGACAAUACAAGAUAAAGUUGUAGUGAUUUGAGAAAUUGACAAAAUAUUGUAAUCUAAAGAUAGAACAACUAAAACAUAAUCCAAAUUCAAAGUAUCAGUAAGAGUUAAGGAUCCUUCCCCAAUGACUAUGGUUGUGUUACUAUUGGCUAUGGAAAAAAAAAUUUGUGAGUAAGGUCUAAGGGGUGAGAUCUGUCUAGAAUCAAAAGUCAUAUGAUCUGUAGCACCAGAAUCAAUUAUCCAUGCACUAUUAAUAACAGGUGUAGAAGUAUUUAAAAAUUGACCACCAUAAUCUGUAACGGCUACCAAUGCAGAAGCUUUCUCAACAACAUUAGUCUCUGUUUUUAUUUUGGCAACAACUACAGUCAAGGUUUUCUUAGAAUCCUUCUUCCGUUGAUCACGAUUAUGAUCCCACCAAUCUGGAUAUCCCACAAUUUCAAAGCGACGACUCUUGGUAUGACCAGUCUUAUUGCAGUGAGUGCAUUUGAAGGUUGACUUAUCAAUAUUAGGGUUUGUCUUAGGAUGGUUGGUCUUGGAUUGGUCCUACCAAUUCUAGGUUGAUCGCUGUCGGACUACCAUAGUUGAGGUGUCAGGGUUGUCAAAUUCUACUUUCAUACUAGCAUGACGCUCUGUCUCUCGUCGAAUCAAUGCAUAGCAUUCUUCCAAAUCAGGAAGAGGAUCUUUGCGUAGAAUCUCUCCUCGAACUUGCUCAAAGUCACCAUCCAAUCCAGUAAGAAAGAUGUGCACCCGUUGUCGUUCAAUGGAUUUCCGAUAUGUUGCAAUGUCCUCAGGGUCUUUCAUGACUACCUUAUCCCGAUGAUCCAAUUCGCAAAAAAAUUUAGUUAACUUUCCAUAAUAUUCAGAAAGAGACGCCGCUUUGUUUGGCAAUGAAGGCUUUUUGAUUCAAAUUAAAAACUUGUAAUUCAUCACUUCCAUCAUAGAAGGCCUUUGAUAAUGCACUCCAAAUUUCUUGAGCGGUGGGUAAGCGUAAGUAACGCUUCAUAAUUUCUAGACUCAUGGACAUUAACAACCAUCUCUUCACCUUUUAAUUCUCAGCAUACUAUUUUUCAUAUCCAUCUUCUGACUCUUUUGGUCAAUUUAUCUUACCUCGAAUGUAGGAAAGUUUUUCUCGUUCAGCAAUAUGCAUCUCCACGAGUUAUGACCAAACGUCAUAGUUUGAUUCAGUUAAAAUAAUUCCUAGAUUAAAAGUACCUUCAGAUUGAAAAACAAUAGUAUUUUUUUCACUCAUUUUUUUUAUUAUUAUUAUUAUCAAAAAGGAGGGGCGAUAGCUGGCCUUACCAACAAAAUAUCCAGGAUUUCAGUUCCAUAGCUCCGAUACCAUCUUCAAAUUAAUGAAUGGUAGUUUUUCAUUGAUUAUUUAAUUCGUUCAUGUACAGAGUAUAUAUAGAGGGUAAUCACCAUUCUAAAAAUGGGAAAGAAUAAUACAAAGAAAGAAUGAUAUAAGGAAAGAACAACUAAUAUCAUAAUAUCUCAACAUGGAGAUGGAUUAGGAAUAGAAAGACAAGGCAUUUGAACAAAAAUAUUAGGAAAGCUCAGAGAAAGGGAACCUAUGAGACCUUUAUUACCAUUACUCAUUAGUGCUUCCAAAUAAAGAACCGAGUUACCAGAAAGAGGAGAUGCUAAAGAGAUGUUCGAUGGAGGAGUACUAGUAGGAGUAGGGGUGGAUAAAUGGGGCGAGAACCAGGACUCUAUGAAUGAGAAAGGCAGAGAGGGAUUGGAUGUGGCAAAUGGAAAGAUGGAUUCAACAAACUUGACAUGACAAGAUGUGUAGGUUUUAUAAGUGGUGGGAUCAAGACAAAUAUAGGCACUUUGAAAGAGUGAGUAGCCAAUCAAUACACAUGCAUGGUUUGGACUUGAACUCAAGUUUAUGAGAAUUAUAAGGACAUAACCAUGGAUAACACAAGCAACCAAAGACUCGAAGUUUUGCUAGAUUUGGCGAUUAACUAAAAAGUUUUUGGUAAGAAGAAAGAAACCUAAUAUUAUGUUUUGGUAAUCAAUUGAUCAAAUAGAUAGUAGUGGCAAAGGCUUCGAGCCAAAAUGAUAAGAACAUAGAAUCAUGAUGCAAUAAAGUGAGGGUUGUCUCAACUAUAUGAUGAUGAUGACGCUCUGAGUAUCCAUUGCGUUCAGGAGUAUGGGGGGAAUGGUGAGGCAGGAGACACCAUGAUGAGCCAAAAAAUAAAAAUUUGAGAGCAAGAUAUUCCCCACCAUUGUCUGUGUAUAGUUGUAUCAUUUGUUUGUUAUAAAAAUUUUCCACAAGCACUUUGAAACGAAUAAAAAUAUCUAAAACAUCAGACUUUUUUUUUCAUGGGAUAAAACCAAAUAUAUUUUGUAAAAUGGUCAAUGAAAAUAAUAUUUAUUACCAUUGAAGGAUUCCACAGGAGAGCACCAUACAUCAGAAUAAAGAAGUUGAAGAGGAGAGGUGCCAAUGAGCGAUGAUGCAGAAAAAGGAAGCUUAUGGCUUUCAUUACUGUGACAAGAGUUGCAAGAAAAGUUCCUAAUACUAGUGGAAGAUAAGUGAAUGCACUAAGAUGACACGAGGGGACUAAGAACUUUGGCAAAAGGAUGAUCGGGACGGUGAUGCCAAUCAGAAGUAGAUGCUUUAAUAGAAGCAAAGGCAAGUAAUGGUUUGGAUUUCUCAUGGACGGUCAGCCACUCGUAGACUCCAUCCUUAGAAUUAUCUGUCAAAAGCGUUGCUCCCAUUCGAAGAUCUUUCAUAAGAAAAGAGCGAGGUAAGAACUCAAUAGAAAUAUUGUUAGUUAAGCAAAAGUGAGAAACAGAAAUUAGGUUGCGUCUCAUAAAGGGCACACAAAGAACAUCAUGUAAAAAAAUGAGUAAGGGGAGGAUUGAAGAGUAGAAGAACCCAUGUGAGUGAUGGGGAAACUAGUGCCAUCACCAAUCAUGAUAUCAUUAUAAACAGUGGAAUCAGAGUAAAGAAGGAGAAUCUAUAUGUCACUUGUCACAUGAUGAGAGGCGUCAAAAUCCAACAACCAAUCAAUGGAAGAAGGAGCAGUCGAGGAGGCAAAAUGAGCCUGGGGAGUUGUCGACCGAGUGGAUAGGGACGGAUAAGCAGCCUAGGGUAUAUGCUUAUAGGUAGAACAUCAUUUGGCAAAGUGGCCUUCAAUACCACAAAGCUGACAAAAACCUCGGAAAGGUUUGGGAGGUGGGCGAGGUUGGUGAGAACUAGCAGGAAGGUGAGGGUUAUUGGAAGAAGAGUUACGACGAUAAGAAUUGGCCUUAUAAUUAUGAUGUGGAGAAGAGUUGGGAUUCUUAGUGGUCAAAUAAAUAAAAGUUGGAGUUAAUAAUUUCUUGCCCUGGUCUUGUUUCAAUUGGGCUUCAUGGGUGAUAAGCUUCUCAUGAAGUUCAUCGAAGGAAAUAAGGGUCUCUCUAGCUUUGACUGCAAAAGCAAGAGAAGAAUAUUUUGUCACCAAGACCACGAAGAAUUUUGAGAGUGAGAUCGUCAAUAUCAUAGGCAACAUUCAUGAGGAGAAGCUCAUCAUUGCACGUUUUAAUGAGUUGCAUAUACUCCAUAAUAGUUGUCUCACCCUCGUGCAGAUUGUCUAGGAUUCCCUUGAGAGACAUGAUACGACAUAUGGCUUUGCAUAAGUGUUGAAGAGAGUGGUCCAAGGAGCAUGAGAUGUUGUGGCAGUGGUAAUGAAGGGAAUGAGAGUGGGCAUGAUCGAACCGAUGAUGGCGUUGAGAAUAAGCUGGUCUUGGUGCACCCAAAGAGAAUACGAGGGAUUGGGAGUCAGGUCGUUUGUUGUGGUGAGGGUCGGGGGUGGACAAGAACUAGCGCUGUCAACAAAUCUGCAGACAAGGUCGUAGCCAAUAAUAAGGGUAGUAAACUGCAGGCGCCAUGCAAAAUAGUUUGUGUGAGUUAAUUUAAGUGGGGCUUGAGCAGUCACAUUGAUGGUAAUGAGAUGUGGCACAUAGUCAGGGGCCAGAAUAAUCACAAGUGAGGUAGGAGACGAGACGGGGGAGUCGUGAGUAGCAGAGAAGACAAUGGGAAAAAGGUGGGUCGAGGGCUCUAAGAGUAGAGAGAAUCUAAUACCAUAUAAGAUAUUGUUUUUGAUCGAUCAACUCAACUUAUCUGUUUAUUGAGUUCAAUAAUAUAUAUAGGUGUUUUACAAAUUCAAAAUAAAUGUACAUCUCGGAACUGAUACAAGUAGUUUACCUAUAUAUGUACAUGCUAAUUCAAAAAUAAAACAAAUUCAAAUACAAAUAAACUUGCUAUCCAAAAAUGUAGUGAAAUAAUAGAUAUACAAAAUAUAUAUACUAAUAUUAUCCCAAUAUUUUAGGCAAAUCAGUAGACGUCUCAAUAUCUUCCUUACCUGCCAAUUUGCAAUGAACCCAUUACAUAAUUUUAAUUGAUUUCCAAAGAGAGAAUGCGCAGGCCACAAUAUCUAGAAUCACAAUUUCAAGAACUACAAAAAAAGAAAAACAUAUAUAGAACUGAUAGCUAAUGUGAUCAGUCAUAAUUAUUUGAAGUGUUGCCCAAUCAAGUAAUAUAUCUUGUUCUAAACAAUUAUAAUAGCAGCUAGCAUUUCUCUUUUACAUGCAUGCUGAAAGACCAAGAUUUUUAGGUGUACGUAGAGCCUCAUUUAUAUAAGCUAUGGGUCUGCUUUCUUGUAACAAAAUUGCUUCUUUCCCAUUCCUUGGAUAUAUCACACUAUGUUACAAAGCUUUUUUGGAAGCUUUGCAUAGGCAACAUAGGAGUGGUACCCACGAUGCUUUUAAGUUGCUCAAAGGCGUCUUCAAGUGAUUUGGUUCAUUAGGAAUUAGUCAUUACCUUUAUUCAACAAAAAGAUGAAUGGUUGACUAAUCUUGUCAUAAUCCUUAAUAAGUAUCCCUUGAUUUGAGUGGAAUUCUAUGUUCAUGUGCCUAGGAGGCGGUGAACCCUUAGGUUCUAUAAACAUAGUCGAGUAUUGCUACAACAGUUGAGCUAAUUCCUUAGGUUCCUUUUCUCCCUCUUCAGCUGUAUUUUUUUCUACUUGUAUAGAGAAAAUUUGAACCUUGAUGCUUAAAAUAUGUGCUUUAAAUCCCUAUAUGAUAUGCUAAAACUAACUUCAUGAAGCCUGUAGUACUACCUCUGAACACGAAUUUCCUUCCAUUGACAGUAAAUUGCUUUCUUAGAUUGUUAAAAUUCCGCCUAAUGGGUCUCAAGCUAACAAUAUUGGAUCCUCAAAACCAUAUUAUUGCAUCCUUCCAAGGUAUGAGUCUCAAAUCAGCUUAAUAAAAACUUCUUCCCUAGCAAGUUCCAUUUCAAUUGCCUGCAAACUGCAUCACCAGUAUUCAUUAUUGAAUUAUAGAUUGCACGGAUCUACCCUCAUGGAUUCACACACACAGCCCUUGGCCACAGUGGGCUCUGGUUCUCUUCAUGCAAUGGCUGUAAUUUGACUGUAAAUUGGCACACUGAAGUUGGGAUAUUCUUAGAACUAGCUUUAAUUUAUCUAAAAACAGAAGCUACUUAUGUAUUCUUACAAGUUUCUAUAGAAGAUACGUAUAACACUGAUAGCAUGUACCUGAGCCCAUCAGAAUAACUACAUAUUUUAAGCUUAAAAAGCCCAUCGCUGAGGGAGAUAGGCUUUGAUAAAGUUAUUUUCAAGAUUUUUCCUUUUUUUACAUACAUAUAUAUAUAUAUAUAUAUAUAUAAUUUAUUCACACACACACACACACAACAAAGUUUUCCUGCUUUUUCACCGGCAUGUUGAGCUCCACGCAAGUCCAAGGUGGAUCUAGCCGAUCUGAAGAAUAGGUCUUCUUGUAAUAUUUGUGCUGUCAACAACCUUGAACCACUGGCUCCCAGGAUCACACAUAUCAUCUCUACCCAAGCACUUGCAAGCAUCUGUGACAAUGUUGCUGCUGGAGUCUACAUCCAAGCAAACUGUGGUGCCAUCCCCCAGCUUAGUUGACAGGUACAUCUUUGAAUCUGAAAUGAUCUCCCAAUUUGACCCAGGUUGAGUGCAUAUUAUACUGAGUUUUGCAGGCUUCCCUAGCCCAACUGCUUGAAGGCAGAAGUAUGUUCCCUUCACUAUCAAUAUCUUUUGGGGGGUGUAGCCCCAAGCUUCUGACUCGGUGCAGGGACCUAGCUUUAAUGGUUCAGACAAUGAUUCCCUUAGAAUGCAAAGACCAGUCGAAGGAUGCAAGAUUAUUUUAUGUGGUCUGACUCGGGAUACAUCUGGCCCUGCAUCAAAUAUGAAACCACACAAAAUUUAGAUAUGAAUAAUUAAGUAAAUUUGCCUUAUUUGCCUUAGCAAACAUACCUUGCAAAGGAGAUUGGAGGGCUGAAAUCCUCUGGAAGAAGUUCGAGUUCCAAUUCAUUAACCCAUUAGUCUCUUCCAGUGUCCACAAUGCCCAAUCGAAGUCCAGUUCAGCCGCCAGGCCAAAGAAGCAAUUUAAGUGCCUGUUGUCAUCCACCCCAAGCUCACUCACAAACAUUAAUGGCCACCCUUGCUGUAGCAGAACCCCUCCUCCCCUCAUUAUGCUGUCCACCACUCUCCCGCACACCUUGUUGGGGUUGCUGGUUUCCCCAGCCCUCCCAACCCGCGAUCCAUGCCAAUGCAUCUCCAACACUAAUUUCCCUGUGAAUGUCAAUUCCAGCUGUUGAUUGAGGAGGAAAGAUAGGUCUGUACCAUCACUCAAGCCAGAGAUUAUGACCAGAACAUCUGGGUUGGCUGAGUGCACUGCUUCAGCUCCUUUCUGCAUGUACCUGGUCAAUUCAUGAAUAGCUUUAUACCAAGACCAAUUCCUACAAAUAUGGUAACUAAUAGUUUGGAAAUAUAACAACCCCCUCCCUUACGUGUCCGUGUAGAUAUUGUCCAAUCCAAUGGGACCCUCACCAUACAAUACAAUGCAUAUAAGAUUAAGAAGAACCCAUGAAUACAUAACAUUCUUCAAUUUGGUCCCGCACAUUACGGAAUGAAUCAUUACAGGAAAAUAGAGAUCAUCACCUGUACCAGUCCUUCACAUUCUGAUUGGGGCAUCGGAGCUCAUUCCUCAAGCUCAUGCCCACCACAUUAGGGACACCGCUGAACAUGGUGGCAAUCCGGGUGAGGCCCUUGACCCACAAGUCUGGAUUGAAGUGCUGGUCGCCAAAGACGCCAUUGCCAUGGAAGCUGGGCUCGCUGAAGUGACUGUCUAGUAUGACCAUCAUAUUGUUGUCCGCAAGGUUAGACACCACCGCCUGCCAUAAUAACUUGAGAUAAAUACAAAACAGCGUUGGGUCUGUGCCUUUUUUACAAUACCGGUGUUUUAUCAUUAAAUAAUCACAAAUAUUAUUCUUUCCGAAUACUGUAGCUGUAACAGUGAGGGCGUUUGUCCAAAUUCACAAGCCACCUAUUUUUAAAUCAAGAUAAUCAUGAAAUCAUUUGAUAGUGUAAGAACCAAGGAACCAUUUCAAAAGCCUCCUAUUUUUACUCCAUGCCCUAAUCAAAAUUUAAGCUCUAAAUCAUGGUGGGAAAGUGACUAAAAAUCAAAAGAAAAGCAGGUAAGUUUUAAGCAAACAAAAUAGAUUCAUUCAAUUUUCCUGGUUCUUAAUGGAUUUGAGGCUUGGAGCCCCUUUAAUUGAUGCCUAGAGAAAAUCAAAUGAACUUGACCACCUGGUAAGCGCUUGUGAGAGGAAGAUCAAGCAUGGAAGGGUUAUUGGCCUGGAAACCAGCAAGGGAUUCAAGCAAGCCAAGCCUCUGAAAGGAUUGUCUAACAGUGAGGGAGGCCAGUGACUGGUCGAUGGCCAAGAAAAGUGGCAAAGUGAGCCUCACACAGUUGAACCCCAAGGACGCAAUCCUCUUGGAGAUGAGGUCAACUGGGUGGUUGCUGAGGCCCUCCGCCACCGCUGCUUCCUGAUGCGACAGCCAAUUCACGCAUGCCAGCUUCACCCGGGCGCCAUCUUCGUCUACUAUCCACCUUGAAUUGGUGUGUAGUGGCAGAGCCACCACAGGCUUCAGAGGUAGAAGACAUAGAAUAGAUAGAAAGAAGAAGAACCUCCCCAUCUGGAUUUGCAUCGACUGUUUGUUGGGUAGAUGGAACAUGAGACAUAGUAUUGUAUUUAUUAUUUGAGAAUUCAUUACAAUAUAUUUUUUUUCUAUUUUUAAAUUUUUUUAAUUAAUGUAAUUUUUUAUUUUUAUGUUUUGGGCAAAUUCUUCUAUUUUUAAAUUCUUCUAAUCAGUUAUAAUUUUUUAUUUUUAUGUUUUAGAUUAAUUCUAAAAUUAUUUCCUAUUUUUAUAUUUUGAAUAGAUUUUUUUCUAUUUUUAUGUUGUAGGUUUAUGUAUAUAUAUUAAUUCUUAAUCAAUGAGAAAGUCAAGUCAUUAUUUCUUAAUAAUUUUCUUUCUAUUUUAACAUUGUUUAUUUUUCUUUUUUAAAUUUUUUUUUUUUCUACUUUCUUCCCCACGUUAUGUUUUCGUAGACCAAAUGCAUAUAUAAAGUAAAAAAAUGAUCAUAACAUUAUUCAAAUAGUCAGCAUGUCUUUGAAUUUUGCUUUGUAAAAAUAUUAAAAAUUUAAGGAUGGGGUUUUUUCUUCAUAUUUAUUUGCAUAUUGUAGACUAUGAAUAGCCAUUAUAAUUGGCAUUGGAAACACGCAAAGUUACAGAACAUGGAAGUCAAAUAUUUGCUUGGAACUUUAGGGUUUGGAAAACUUGUAAGGCAGACCACAUCUACUCGGUUUCCCAUUGCUUUUUGUUUUUGUAUCUCGGCCUUGUGUUUAAUUCUUUUAAGCAAGUGAAUUUUAUACUUCUAUACUAUAAUUUAAAUUUAAAAAAUAAGUAUCUGAUGAUUUAAAUUUUCCUUAAUUACUCUUUAAAUCAAUAUACAUCUCUUUCCUUUUUAUUUAUUUCAACAAAAUAUUAAAGAAUAAUUUAGAAAAAUACUUUUAAAUUCACUUUAAUUUUUCCUCAUCCUUACUUGUAGUUUUUAAUUAAUUUUAAUUUAAUUAAUUAAUCAAUCAUGAUAAAUAUCCCUUCUUUACAGUACAGGUAAAGAGAAUCUGCUCGCACUCUUCUAUAUGGUACCAACUUCAACCAUUUAAAUAUCCCUUCUUUGUUUUUUUUUUCUUGCACAUGGGGUCCUUGUAUAACCAUGUUGGGUGAGGUCUCCCUUGAUUUGAGUGGAAUUCUAUGUUCAUGUGCUCUUGGAGGCGGUGAACCCUUAGGUUCGCUACAACAGUUGAGCUAAUUCCUUGGGUUCCUUUUCUCCCUCUUCAGCUGUAUUUUUUUCUACUUGUAUGGAGAAAAUUUGAACGUAGAUGCUUAAAAUAUGGAUUUUUGAUCCGAGUAUGAUAAUUUUAAAAAAUAAUUCUUAAAUUAUCGUAGUGGGAAAAAUAAUUCCAAAUUUACGGUAGUUGAGAAAGAUAUUUGUUUUUUUAAGUCGUCUUUUCAAAAGACGAUUUAUGAUCUUUUUUUUUUCACUAAGAAAUUGAAAUCGUCUCUUGAAAAAAUGAUUUCUACCAAAAAAAUAUAUAUAUAUAUAUAUAUAUAUAUAUAUAUAUAUAUAUAAUUAAUUAAUCAAAUAUCGUCUCUUGAAAAGAUAAUUUCCACCAAAAAAAAAUUAAGCAAUUAAAAAUCGUCUCUUCAAGAGACAAUUUCCAUAAAAAUAAAUAAAUAAAAUUUAAGUAAUUGGACAUGUCUUUUGAAAAGAUGAUUUUUCAAAAAAAAAAAAUUAAGUAAUUGAAAUUAUCUUUUGAAGAGACGAUUUUUACCACAAAAAAAAAAAAGUAAAAUUUAAUAACGAAGACGAUUAGGCAUUUGAAUAUGGAGAAUUUUACUAUAAAAGAUUUGGAUUGACUGACACAUUGUUUUUCUAUCCUUAAGGGAACAAGACCAAGAAAUUUAAGUGUCUUGCAUGAUGGAAAAUUUUGCAGGCCGGGGAUUUAUCCUUUCUUUUAACAUAAUAAUAUUUUGCAUAAUGGAAAAUUUUUGGAGCUUGGAUUUUCUUUAACUAGGAGAGUGAGCAAGAAGGCGUCCUCAUUAUCAUUAUCAUUGCUAUUUUCACUUUGGUCGGAAAGAAUAUGGGGAGUCACAUAUAUAUUUUUUUUGUACAAAUUGUCUCGAGACGAUUUCUUACUUGAUUUUAUUUUAUUUUAUUUUUGAAAUUGUUUCUUGAAGAUAAAAUUUCUCACUUCUUAAUUUUAUUUUAUUUUUAUUUUUUGAAAAUCGUCUCUUCAAAAGACGGUUUUUCAUUUCAUUUAUUACGAUUUAUUUAUAUUUUUUAAAAUCAUCUUUUGAAUAUACGAUUUUUCACUUCCAAUUUAUUUCUCUUUUCUAUUUGGAUAAAACUAAUUUAUAAUUAUUUUUCCUAUUAUGGUAAUUUAGGAAUUAAUUUUUAAAACCGUACUCUUAUCAAAAAAUCCCUUAAAAGUAUGUGCUUUAAAUCCCUAUAUGAUAUGCUAAAACUAACUUCAUGGAGCCUGUAGUACUACUACCUCUGAACAGGAAUUUCCUUCCAUUGACAGUAAAUUGCUUUCUUAGAUUGUUAAAAUUCCGCCUAAUGGGUCUCAAUUCAGCUAACAAUAUUGGAUCCCCAAAACCAUAUUGCAUCCUUCCAAGGUAUGAGUCUCAAAUCGGCUUAAUAAAAACUUCUUCCCUAGCAAGUUCCAUUUCAAUUGCCUGCAAACUGCAUCACCAGUGUUCAUUAUUGAAUUAUAGAUUGCACGGAUCUACCCUCACGGAUCCACACACACAGCCCUUGGCCACAAUGGGCUCUGGUUCUCUUCAUGCAAUGGCUGUAAUUUGACUGUAAAUUGGCACACUGAAGUUGGGAUAUUCUUAGAACUAGCUUUAAUUUAUUUAAAAACAGAAGCUACUUAUGUAUUCUUACAAGUUUCUAUAGAAGAUACAUAUAACACUGAUAGCAUGUACCUGAGCCCAUCAGAAUAAACUACAUAUUUUAAGCUUAAAAUGCCCAUCGCUGAGGGAGAUGAGGCUUUGAUAAAGUUAUUUUUAAGAUUUUCCCUUGCUACACACAUAUACAUAUACAUAUACAUAUACACACAACAAAGCUUGCAAGAAUAGGUCUUCUAGCAAGUCCAAGGUGGAUCUAGCUGGUCUGAAGAAUAGGUCUUCUUGAAAUAUUUGUGCUGUCAACAACCUUGAACCACUGGCUCCCAGGAUCACACGUAUCAUCUCUACCCAAGCACUUGCAGGCAUCUGUGACAAUGGUGCUGCUGGAGUCUACAUCCAAGCAAACCGUGGUGCUAUCCCCCAGCUUAGUUGACAGGUACAUCUUUGAAUCUGAAAUGAUAUCCCAAUUUGACCCAGGUUUAGUGCAUAUUAUACUGAGUUUUGCAGGCUUCCCUAGCUCAACUGCUUGAAGGCAGAAGUAUGACCCCUUCACUAUCAACAACUUUUGGGGGGUGUAGCCCCAGGCGUCUGACUUAGUGCAGGGACCUAGCUUUAAUGGUUCAGUCCAUGACUCCCACAGAAUGCAAAGACCAGUCGGAGGAUGGAGGAUUAUUUUAUGUGGUCUGACUCGGGAUACAUCUGGCCCUGCAUCUCACAUGAAAGCACAAAAAAAUUAGAUAUGAAUAAUUAAGUAAAUUUGCCUUAUUUGUCUUAGCAACCAUACCUUGCAAAGGAGAUUGGAGGGCUGAAAUCCUCUGGAAGACGCUUGAGUUCCAAUUCAUUAACCCAUUAGUCUCUUCCACUGUCCAUAAUGCCCAAUCGAAGUCCAGUUCAGCUGCCAGGCCAAAGAAGCAAUUUAAGUUCCUGUUGUCAUCCACCCCAAGCUCACUCACAAACAUUAAUGGCCACCCUUGCUGUAGCAGAACCCCCCCUCUCCUCAUUAUGCUGUCCACCACUCUCCCGCACACCUUGUUGGGGUUGCUGGUUUCCCCAGCCCUCCCAGCCCGCAAUCCAUCCCAAUGCAUCUCCAACACUAAUUUCCCUGUGAAUGUCAAUUCCAGCUGUUGAUUGAGGAGGAAAGAUAGGUCUGUACCAUCACUCAAGCCAGAGAUUAUGACCAGAACAUCUGGGUUGGCUGAGUGCACUGCUUCAGCUCCUUUCUGCAUGUACCUGGUCCAUUCAUGAAUAGCUUUAUAACAAGACCAAUUCCUACAAAUACGAUAAUUAAUAGUAUGAAAUUAUAACAAACCCCUCCCUUCCUUGUCAAUAUAGAUAUUGUCAAUUGGGAAACUUUACAAUGCAUUUAUAAGGUUAAGAAACUUUACAAUGCAUUUAUAAGGUUAAGAAGAGCCCAUAAAUAUAUAGUAUCAGGGGUUUUUGCCAAUUUGAUCCACAAUCCGUAGAGACACGAUAAGGAUUUUGUGUCUGGAUAGGGUGAUUGUAAUAUCAUAGGCCAAAAGUUCUUAACACUAUAUAUGACACGUUUUAAAGCCAUCCAUCGAGUCUAAAGAAAACAAUAUCUACAAGAUUGGGCUCACCUGUACCAGUCCUUCACAUUCUGUUUGGGGCAUCGGAGCUCAUUCCUCAAGCUCAUGCCCACCACGUUAGGCACACCACUGAACACGGUGGCCAUCCGGGUAAGGCCCUUGACCCACAAGUCUGGGUUGAAGUACUGGUCGCCAAAGAUGUCGUUGCUAUGGAAGCUGGGCUUACUGAAGUGACUGUCUAGUAUGAUCAUCAUAUUGUUGUCCGCAAUGUUAGACACCACCGCCUGCCAUAACAACCUAUUAGAUUAAUACAAACCAGGAGUAGGGUCUGAGCCUUUUUGAUAUUUCCGGUGUUUUAUCAUUAAAUUAUCCGAAAUCUUAUCCUUUCUGAAUACUGUAGCUGUAACAGUGAAGGCGUUUGACCAAAUUCACAAGCCACCUUUUUUAAAAUCAAGAUAAUCAUGAACCAUGUGAUAGCGUAAGAACCAAGGAACCAUGUGAUAGCUUAAGAACCAAGGAACCAUGCCCUAAUCAAAAUUUAAUCUCUAAAUCAUGGUGGGAAAGUGAUUAAAAACCAAAAGAAAAGCAGAUCAGUUUUAGGCAAACAAAAUAGAUUCAUUCAAUUUUCCUGAUACUUAAUGGAUUUGAGGCUUGGAGCCCCUUCAACUGAUGCCUAGACAGAAUCAAAUGAACUACCCACCUGGUAAGCGCUUGUGAGAGGAAGAUCAAGCAUGGAAGGGUUAUUGGCUUGGAAUCCAGCAAGGGAUUCAAGCAAGCCAAGCCUCUGAAAGGACUGUCUAACAGUGAGGGAGGCCAGUGACUGGUCGGUGGCCAAGAAAAGUGGCAGAGCGAGCCUCACACAGUUGAACCCCAAGGACGCAAUCCUCUUGGAGAUGAGGUCAACUGGGUGGUUGCUGAGACCCUCAGCCACCGGUGCUUCCCGAUGAGACGGCCAAUUCACGCAUGCCAGCUUCACCCGGGCGCCAUCUUCGUCUACUAUCCACCUUGAAGUGGUGUGUAGUGGCAGAGCCACCACAGGCUUCAGAGGUAGAAGACAUAAAAUAGAUAGAAGGAAGAAGAAGGAAAAGAAGAACCUCCCCAUCUGGGACUUGUGUUGACUGCUAGUUGGGUAGAUGGAAUAUGAGACAUGGUAUUGUACUUAUAGGGCCCGGAACCCUCGUCUGUCUUUCUUUUUAAAUUCUUUUUUUUUUUCUUCUCCUCGUUUUUUCUCACUCGACCAAACGUAUAUAGUAAACAAUGACUAUAUUUAAACCAUUCCGCUAAAUGAAUCUGUCGGCAAUUUAAUAUUAAGUGAUAUACCAUAUAUUUAAAAAAUGAAAAUAAAAAAUACCCAAUCCUAUGCCGAAACAAAAACCGGAUCUUCAUCAACAAUAUUAAUCCUCACGGUGUAUAUUACUAAGAAGGCCCUUAAAACCAUGGUUUCAAGUUGUCGUAUCUAUCGAUGAAUGUUAUAAAUAUUAUCACAAAAAUAAAUACAAUUAAAUAGAUAAAAAGUUAAUAAAAUAAAUUUUUAUUAUAUUUAACGUUAUUCAAAUAGUGAGCAUGCCUUUGAAACGAUUUAUGCCAAAUAUUUUUUAUUUUCAAAAAUAAAAGAUGAAAAUAAUUGAAAAUAAAAAGGAAUUUGUUUUUGAACUAAUAAAUAUUUUGAAAUUAGAAAAAACUAUUUUCAAGUAUUAGAAAAUAAACAUGUUUUACCUCUAUCUAUUGAUUUUUAUUUUCUAUAUUAAUAUUCAUAUCUUAUUUAUUUUGUAUAAACCCAAAAAUUUAUUAUUUAUGAAUUAUCCGAAUACAUACAAAUAUGUCAAUAUCCAUUUAAAGAGAAAUAGUCUAUAGAUCAUAUAUCCUAAAAACACUUGGAAAAAUAAGAUUUGGUUUGGGUUACUUUAUGCAAGAAUCUUGAUUAGUUAUUUCAUUAAUCAAAUUUUUCACCUCAAAUCAUAAAUGAAACUACAAAUACGAAAAUUACUCUUUUUCACAAUACAAAAAUUGACUCUUGUUUUGGUAGAAAAAAAAAUUAAGAGAGGAGUUUUAUUCCAAAUUAAAAAAUCAAUUUAUUUCUCGUUUUUAUUAAGAGAAAGAGUACAUUUUUUUUUAUUUUUAAAAUGAUAAUUUUUUAGUAAUUUAAAAACCCCUAGAAACUGCUCUUCCAUUUUUAUUUAUUAGGUCACAUCGGGUCAACCCACUUGAACACUUAAAUCCAACUCCAAUAAUACUCAUUUCUCUUCUUAAUCGACACUUUCAUGUCUCUUCUCCAAAAUUGAAGAGUAUAAGAAUGUAAAAACUAAGUUUCAACGAUGAAGAGGCAAACAAAGGAUCCCAACUCUCCUUCUCAAGUUCUUCGAUUUGUGAAUUUUGAUCUUAUCAUUUUUUCCACCUUUUUUUUUUUUUUUUGAUAUCAAUGUUUUCUUCAAAACUCAUCAUCCAAAAAACUCAUUAUUUAUAUGAUACUUAAGUUAUACACGAGUGAUUCACACUGAGAUUACCCAAAUCAACAAGAAAUGAUUCACGAGUGAACGAAACAUUGGGUUUAGACAUCGAUUUUAACGGACACUCAACUACUUAACUAUAGUAAUUAAUGGUCUUAAUUUUAUUUUAUAAAGCUAAUGAAAUAAGAUGUGUAAUAUAAUCUGAUAAACUUCCCACCUUUAUUUAACGUGAUAAUUAUUAAUGAAAUAAUUAACAAUUGUCACAUAUUGACCUAACCCUCUCAUCAAUUUCAAGUUUCAUCUAGGUCUCCAAAGAAAGUAUUCAUAAAGGAGAAUGACAUUAUGAGAUGAAAUCUACUAGCUCCGUCAUAAUCCCAUAAUAAUGCACACACCAAAUUCAUUCAAAUAAGGAUGGGUAUUUUUCUUUUUAUUUAUUUAUUAUUAUUAUUAUUAUUUUGGCAUAUUGUGGGCAUGAAUAGCAUUAUAAUCGGCGUUGGAAACACGCCAAGUUAUAGAAAUGUAACCACGCCAAGUUACAGUACGUGGAACUCAAAUUUUUGCUUGGAAGUUUGGGUUUUGGAAACUUGUAAGGCAAACCACAUCCGCUUGGGUUGUCAUUGCUUUUUGUUUUGUGUCUGCCUUGUCUUAAAUUCUUUUAAGCAAUCAUUAUUUAUAUUGGUAUAAAUAGUAAUAUAAAUAUAGUAUAAUUUAAUUUUUUAAAAAUAAGUAUUUGAUAAUUUAAAUUUCCUUAAUUACUCUAAAAUCAAUAAUCUCUUUCUUUUUCUUUUCCUUUUUUUUUUUUUUUAUUUCAACUCAAUAUUAAAGAAUAAUUUAGGAAAAUACCUUUAAAUUCACUUUAAUUUAGAAAAUUAUUUUUUAAUUAAUUUUAAAUUUAUCCAUUAAAAAAAAUAUACAGCUAAAAAUCGGACCAGAAUGAUCAAUUGAAUUAUAGGUUUUUCUAUUGUAUUUACUCAUUUAAGUGUUUAAAUAGUUAUCGAUAUAUAUAUAUAUAUAUAUAUAUAUAUAUAUAUAUAUAUAUACAACAAAACUUUGAGUGCUUUAGGGAAGUUUGCAAUUUAGGUUCAAACUCAAUUCAAGAGUAUGUUUUAGAAUAUGGGUCUAUUACAUGUUUUAGAAUAUGGAUAGAUUGGAUUGAAUUUGAAUUAAUCAAAAUUGAAAUGGGCCUAUUACAUUUUGGCCCAAGAAUGGCUUAUGAACCACUGUCCUCCAGACCAAUUUGUUACUUGCCACCGAAACUGACCAAAUCUUAACUUAACCAGAAUUGAAAUGGGCUAUUGCACUUUAGCCCAAGAAUGGCUUAUGAACCACUAUCCUCAAGACCUCAACCUCUCAUUCUUCCGAUAUGGGAUCACUUAUAAGAUGUGAAAAGGAGAUAUGCUAGGAAGGAAAUCUCUAGGUCAUAAAAGGAAUAGGUAGUUACUGUUUGUCGCUCAAAGAACCAACCAAGUCUUAACCAAAAUAGAAAUCGCUUAAAGAACCAACCAAGUCUUAACCAAAAUAGAAAUGGGCUAUUUAUUGCACUAUGGCCCAAGAGUGGCUUAUGAACCACUAUCCCCAACCUCUCAUUCUUCCGAUGUGGGAUCGCUUAUAAGAUGUGGGAUCACUCAGAAGAUGUGAAAAAGAGGUAUUUUUGGGAAGGAAACCUCCAAGUCAUAAAAGUAAUAGGUAGUUAUUGUUUGUCACUAACACCUUGGUCCAAGAAUGGUUUUUGAACCACUAUCAUCAAGCUCUCAUUCUUCCCAAUGUGCAUUCUUCCGAUGUGGGAUAGCACAUAAAAGAAGUCAGUAAACCACUAUGCUUCAAGAGAUUUUACUAAAUCUUUUAUAUAAAGUAUUAUAUAUAUACAAUUAUUGAUGUUUUCAAACUUUCAUUAUUUAAAAAAUUUAAAUAAACAUAAAUAUUUACUUAUACAUUUAUUUAUAUUAUCAUUAUUAAAAUAAUAUAAGUUAAAAUUAUAAAAUAACAAAAUAUAUGACUUUUAUUAUAUUAAAAAAAUUAAAUAUUAUAAUAUCUCUUUCAUCUUAAAUAUAUCUUUAUAUUUAAAUAUUAUAUAUGUUAUAUUCAAUAAAAUUAAGUAUAUUAAAUAUAUUUAUAUUUUUUUACCAUAUCAAAUAUAAAAAAUGAAAUAUUAUUAUUUUAAUUAUAUAUAUAUAUAUAUAUAUAUAUAUAUAUAUAAUUUAUAUAAUUAUUUUAAUUUUAUAUAAUAUAUAAAUUAUAAAUUUUUUAUGUUUUGUUCAUAAUUCAACCACCAAUCUGACUAUUGAACUGUUAAUCGAUAACUUUUUAUAUUCAAAAACUGAUCUGAUUUGAAAACAUUAGCAUCGGGAAAACCCAAGUAGCCACAUCAUACGCACCCUUUCAUAUAAAAGUCAUCUUUAAAACAUGUAAAACAAAUUUAAAACAUUUCAAGUUUCAAAACAAAUAUUUGUUUUACAAAACAUCAAAUAGCAAUUUUAAAAUUUUAUUUUUCAUUAUUAUUUUUUAAAUAUCAACCAAACAACCCUAUAUUUCUUAUUUCUAAAAAUAGAAACUUAUUUUCUAUUUUUAGGUUGCAAAAUAUGUUUUCAUUUUUUAUUUUUUUAUGUUUAAGAAGAAAAAGUUAUUUUCGAAUAAAGUUGCCAAAUAGGACUAUAUUUCCUUCUUUCUUUUCCUAGUCGAAAAAAACUUGUUUUCCGAAAUUGUCUCAAUUAUCAUAAAAUUGAAUAAAAAUAUUUUGUAAACAAUCAAAUGGAAAGUAAAGGACAACUUCAUUUUAAAUACUAAAUUUGAAAGUUGUUUACUUCAACACGAUGCAAUAAUAUUGAAAUUGCCUCAAUUAUCAUAAAAUUGAAUAUGUUUUUCCACAAGCUAUGAACCCCAAAUUAUUUUUAUAACUAUUAUCAUUUAUAAAUUUUUUUUUAAAAAAGUGCUAUAAAUAUUAAAAGAUCCCUAGAAACAGGCUUAACAAAGGUUUAGGCCUCAAGUUUGGUAUCAUAUUUAACCACUCUCAACAUUUUAAUUUGUGAUAUAUAUGGUAUUUAAAAAGGUUAAUAAAUAAAAUUGAUCAAUAAAGAUUAAGGUUCUUUUUUGAUAUUUUUUUCAAAUUAAUAAAUUAAAACCUAUUUUUCUCAAAAUAUUUUCUUAUUGUUAAAAGUAUUUUCUUUUCUUUCCCCACCCCUAAAAGCGGUUAGCAAAACUCUCUUCUUUCCUUCUUCAACAAACAUGAAUUCACAUUUAAAACAAAGAUAUAUAAGAGACUUCAUAGCUAAAACAAACACAUGAAAGGAUAAAAUAAUUCCAAAAAAUAAUAUUUUGAGAAUAAUUUUUGAAAACUAUUUUAUAACGUUUGGUAGAAUAAAUAUAUUUUUGAAGAUCGAAAAUAUUUUUAACAUAUUUUCUAUAUUUUUAAUAUAUUUCAAAAAUAACUUAUAUAUGCAAUAUCUUAUUUUUAAUUAUUUUUCAUAUUUACAUAAUUAUUUUUUAAAACUAUUUUUAGAAAACAAUUAAAAACAACUAAAAUAUAUUUUCUAAAUAUACUUUUCUAUUUUUAAAAGUAGAAAACAUUUUUCUGUUUCCUACUAACCAAAUGUAUUUUUCUAAUGUUUUGUUUCAAAGAAUAUAAAAUUAUUUUAAAAAACAAUUACCCAUAAUUUUUGUUUUUUCCUUUUACAUCCCAUUUGAUUUGAACUUACAUAAAGUAUUGAUAUAAAUAUAAAUAUAGCUAUAUAAAUAAGUCAAAAUUUUAUUAUAUUUAUUACUUAAUUAUGAUAUAUCUGAAAAUAUAUGUCCAAAAAGGUAAUUCCAAGAACCGAUCUUGGGAAUGAAUAAUUUUCCAAUAGGUAGGAAUUAUUCACUGUAGAGGACCCGGCUUUAUCCCUCAUCCACUUGUUUUUACUAAAAUCCAAGCAUACAGGCUACAGCCAAUGAGCCAAAGAUCUAUCUCUUUCUCUCCAAAACUCUUACAUCUCCCGCACUUCCAUUUCCUACGGUUCUCCGCGGUUCCUCCAAAUCCUCACUCUCUCCAAUGGCUACUGUUCUCGAUUCCCUCGCCGUUCCUCGUUCCUCUGCUCUUCCUUCCUCUGCUUUCGCUCCGAUUGCCUCCUCGCCAGUCUGCUUUCUCUCCGGCCGUCGGGGAUUGGCGAGGUUGCCGGAGUUCUCAGGUUUGAAGAUCCAGCCGAGUCUCGCCUCUCGUUCUGUGGCUGCGGCGGGUCGGAGUUCGAGAGUAGGUCGCCGUGUUGGAGGAGUCGUGUGCGAGGCUCAGGAGACUGCUGUUGAAGGUUAGAAUCGGUGUUUCUUUUUGCGAUUGUUUUACCUCUGUUUGGUUGCUGAGAAAGGAGAGGAAAUGAAGGAGAGUAGAAAAUCCUGUUUUGUAAUCUUUCUUGGUUUUGAGGUAGGGGAAAUUUGUUAUGGAUUGAGUAGAAAUGAUUGAAAUUGGCGGUAGUGGAGUUUUUUCGGUAAUUUUGGGGAAAUUUAGAGAGUUGAAAAUUUCAAUCUUUUAUUCCCAAGUAACCUCAGCAACCAAACAGAGGAUUUUAUUUGUUUUCAUUCAUUAUUUGUUCUCGUUAAGUUCUUUUGAUUUUUUAUUGAGAUUGUUAGUUUGUGAUACAGUAGUAACUUAUUCAGAUUUGAUUAUGGUAGAAAAGACAAGCAAUUACUUCUGAGACUCACAAAAAGUUGAAACCUUUAUUUGCAGUACUAAAUGAUGAGGUGUAAUUUAAGAUUCUCAGAACCGAAAAUGAAAAAAUAUAUAUAUAUAUACAUGGUACUAUCUUUUUGAGGUUAGGUUGAUGCCUUUUGUUGGUGAGGAUGAGUUGAGUUUGAAUUGACUUUCAAAAUCGAGUUGAGGAGUGUUUGUGGACAACUGGACCUGUACGACUGACAAAUAGCUACAGAUAAAGUAAAAGCAACUUAAGCAAAUAAGCACAACAUGGUCAAUGUAUAUGGAAAAUUUUCGAAGAAGGGAAGAAUCAUUGUCUAUAGCGGAGAAGUUCACUAAUUUGCAAAACAUGCGUAGGAAAAGUCUUCUUGAGUGACAGGCUUGUAGCCAUCUCAAAUGCUACAACUUUCCAAGAACACAUCAUGGACAGGGCCUUACCUGUCGUGGAGGCAUCCAUGUUUUUAUCCUAAUUUAGUGCCCACCAAAACCUCUUUGGAGUGUAGAGGAAAUGAAAAUAAGAAUAGUUGACAGACUUGGCCUCAUGUUUCUUCUUCAACCAUUACACUCUUUGUUCAGAAAUCACCAUCUUGUUGUUUAGAGAAAGCUUCUGUCUGAUUCAGAUAUCUCUUCAAUGUGAUAAAAAGGACAUGUGCCCUCAGAUUCCCAAAAUUUCUUCAAGCCUAAAAACCUAUUGUGCCUUGCCCUAUGCCCUUUUUACAUCAAACUAGACCUCAGCAUUUGAAACAAGACUGUUUUUGUCACUAACUGACCCUGUUCCUGGAACUUUCUGCUCUUUUAUAGUUUGUACCACCAGGACAUGCAUCACAUUCCAGGUGGGUGUUAUUUCAACAGAAAAGAUCCUUUUGGAUCAGGAACUGUCGUGUUCUCACUAUCACGGGUUUGUUUGUUCACUCCGAGGUACUCAUGUUGUGUUAGCGUGUACACAGAAGUUCGUACACGAACACAUUUAUCCACAUCACUUGUCCCCCUGUUCCGGCUGAUGCUUUUGCGUAGCUUCAGCCAGGAAAAACUAAAUUCAUAGUGGCACUUCAUUGGGCCACAUGUCACACGCCACUCGUUGCUUUAAGUAACCAUUGGUGGCAGGCGUCCCUUCAGUGUCAGAGUGCCUAUUUGCAGGACGACAAGUUCCUUCUGACCAAAGCUUCUAGGGUUUCUUUUUUUCACACUUGCAUUCACCAACAAGUGGGAUUUUCUUUCUCUUCAGUUUGGUUUCUGGUAAGUUUCUAAACCGUUUGUUCUGUUCUUUUCAUUAUUUCCUCUGCGAUUUUGCAUUUCUGGUGUUUUUUUUUUUUUUUUUUUUGUGUUGUGUUGUGAUGGAGCGUUUCUGCCCUUGUGUUUGUGUCGUUUUUGAAUUUCUUCAUGUGUUUGUUGGUCUGGAAAUCUGUUCCUUACUGUCUACCCUAGGCAACUCCUCUUUAUAUUUUGUAAUUGUUCCUGUUGGCAGUUUUCUGGAGUUCUGUUCUUGGAAAGUGAUGUUUCUUUAAUGUAGACAAACUCAUCUUCCAUGAAGCUUUGAAUUUUCAUCUACUUAGGGUUUCACAUCUCCUUCAAUUUUUUCCAAAGCUUCCUCUUUAUUCUAAAUGUCUCAGACUAACACGGACUGUUCGUCUGGUUCUGCCUGGUCGGAGGGGAAUGCAAUGGAGCCUAUUGGGGAUCACGAUGAAUCCUCAGGUAUGGGAACGAGUUCAUGUAGCCUGAGUAGGGAGUUUUUGAAUCAUGACGUGACCCUUCUUGAGAUGCAGGAGAUUGACUUUCGUCAAACCUACCUUAUCCCCGAGGAUGUGGGGGUUCGUUUUCCCAGGAAUAUUGAUGACGUGCAAGAUAAUUCUCACCUUUGGGAAAAAUCCAACAUCAUAUUUUGGCCUCGACAACAUUUUGAUGUGGGUCUUUGUCUUCCCUUGCCAUCAUUGGUACACCAAUUUCUAUAUUACACCCAAAUCCAUCUUGUCCAUGUUCAUUCCAAUAUUAUAGGCAUACUUAUGGGUGUUUCCGUCCUGAACUUCCAAUACAACCUUGAUCUUGGCUUAGAGGAAGUUUUCUUUAUUUAUGCAUUAAAAUCAAAUCCUCAUGAAAAAUUCUUCUUUUCCGCCGACAUGCAAUCCCUCUAGUUAGUAGUCAAGCUUCCGACUACCAUCAAAGGAGCCCCCUAAGGACAUGUCAUUUUGUCUAAAGACUAGGGAUGUAAUCCAGGGUCCUUUACUCGAUCCUUUCCUUUGGAUCACUCCCUUCAUAAGUCGAGUAUGCACGGUUAGAUUCCUUUCCUUUCCAUUUGACAAUUUUAUUUUUUGUAGUGCUUCAUGUUGAUGAAACACUAUUAUGUUCGUUUAAUAGGUUCAACUGAAUGAGGAAGACGAGUUGAAUGGUUCCCUACUAACAAAUUUGAUUGGGUUAAAUUUAUUUUGUGUUUACUUGAUCAUAAGAGGCACUAUGAAUGACUUUUAAAUCUUGUAUGGCUGAAACAACACCUUUCACCAUUCAACACAUUCCUCGGAUUCAGUCUGCUUCCUAUGGCUAUAACUCCUGCCUACACAAGGUGAUUAGUGGGCAACACAAUCUCCCCUAAGGACACAGUUUUUGACCCAUUGAAGCCUCUCAAAAUUCGCCUAAGGGAAUGAAGAACAUCGGUUUUGUACCCCAUCAACAAGAAAGCAGAGAGAUGCAAGAGAUUGACAAAACUUCUCGGGUCAACAAGAAUACAAUUCACAAGGUGCCCUCCCAUUGUCAAGACCAAGACUAGAGCAUCUUCGUGGGGCAUGAUGGCAUUUCUUAGUUCAGUAGGAUCAAAGACUGUCUCUGUGGUGGGAAAUUAGGCCGACUGUGAGAAUGGUAAGGGAGGAGAAGGGCAAAGGCAUUCUGGUUUCAGAUGGCGAGGACGGGGGUGAAGGCUAUGCACGCGCGGGGGGGCGAGUGAGGGGGUUGGUAGCGGGCCCAAGCCUCGAGGUCCGGCUGCAGUCUGAUGAUGGGACGAGGGGGCAGUCCUCGGGGUCGGGUCUGACUGUGGGUUCGGACUCGGGUCUGGCGUCGGGUGGGCCCCAUGAAACGUGCGGGCUGGCGACGCAGUGGGCCCUUGGGCCGCAUGACGCCUUUGGUUCCUCCCCAUCCACGGCCCUCCCUUGCGAAUCUAGGCUGACCCACUUUGGGCUGUCUCCCGACGUUGGGCGGGCCUCGAAGAAGCUGUUAGGAGGGGUUGGUCUGAGGAUUCGAGGCCCGGACUCGCCUCUGAUCUGUAAUGUGGAUGAGGCCCAUGAGCGGGGGGCCCGUUCCUUUAAUGGGGCAGGACCAAGCUCUGAGGGGGGCCUGGACCAGCCCUGGUCGUUUCUAAGGGUGACAAGUGGGUUGUGGAGGCCUUCGGCUGAGGAGCAAAGGCUGGUGGAGAACUCGAUGACAGACAACGCGCUAAUGGAGGAAGCCUUGAGGUAUGGGAUCGCUCCUAAUGUCUAUGGUCCGUUGGUGUGUGUUUCUCCCUCUCCCCCUUCUUGUUUUUCUGGUCGGACUCCUCUGGGGGAGUAUUACGGCCGUUCUGGGGUGGUGUUGGAUGCAUCCCAGAGGGAAGUUUUGGACCGGAGAAUGAUCGAAAGAACGCCUGCAGCAAUGAAGUCUAUGGAUCGCUGGGAGAUGGUGGAAGAUAACAAUGGUGUGAUGGGUGCUAGUGGAUAGGAUCUCUGCAUUGUGGGAGAGAUGGAUCCAGAAAUUAGGGACUGGAGGGAGGCCAGUUGGGAAGAGAGCGAGCUGGCAAGGUUCAGUCAGUUCUUGGGAUUUCCUACAGCGGGGUUAGAGAAGGACAUUCUGGAUUUUAUGGUUAAAAUCAAAAAAAGAAGGGAAAAAGUGCACCGCAAGUCUCUCUUGGAAAAUUCGAAAUUUGAGAGGGAAUUGAAGAGGCUUGAGUGUUCCAUCAACUAUGACGGGGGAAGGAAGCAGAAAGGCAUUGUGCAAGGAAGGGGGGGUCAGUUUCCAGCUGUUUUAUGAAGAUAAAGCUGGUAAGUUGGAAUGUGCGGGGAGCUAAUGAUAGCUCUAAAAGGAAAGUGAUCAAGGCCAUGAUUAGGAGCCAAAGGGCGGACUUAGUCUGCAUUCAAGAGACGAAGAUUCAGACUAUGACGGAGGGGGUGGUGAGGAGUCUGGGUUCUGGGAGGUUCCUCGAUUGGGGGGCUAUGGGAGCCCAAGGCUCAGCGGGUGGUAUUUUGGUUUGCUGGGAUAAGAGAUCUCUGGAGCUGCUGGAGAUGGAGGUGGGCAAUUAUUCUAUAUCGUGUAGAUUGAAGAAUGUUGAAAACGAAGUGGUUUGGAUUUUUACUGGUGUUUAUGGGCCGUGUAAUAGGAAAGAGAGGGAGAUGUUGUGGGAAGAGUUAGGAGCGAUAAGGGGAAUUUGGGAUGAGCCUUGGUGCAUAGGAGGGGACUUCAAUGUUACUUUAUCUCAAAGGGAUAGGAGCAGACAGGGUAGCCUUAAUGGAGCAAUGCGUAGGUUUGCUCAGGUGGUGGAUGACCUUGCCCUUAUUGAUCUCCCCUUGCAGGGGGGUGUGUACUCUUGGAGUGGGGGAAGGAAUAACCAGACUUGGGCGAGAUUGGAUCGUUUCCUGGUAUCCCAGGGUUGGUUAGAUAUCUUCAGGGGGGCUGUUCAGUGUAGGCUCCCUAGGCCUACCUCUGACCAUUUCCCUAUUUUGUUGAAGGGGGGCGGGAUGAGCUGGGGACCCUCUCCAUUCAGGUUUGAAAAUAUGUGGCUCAAGGUGGAUGGGUUUAAGGAGCUCCUUCGGGAAUGGUGGCAAGGAGGGGAAAGAGUAGGAAGGGCCAGCUUUAGAAUGGUUGCUAAAAUGAAGGUGAUGAAGGAGAAAAUUAAAGUCUGGAACAAGGAUGUUUUUGGUAGAGUGGAAGUGAAUAAAAGCUUAGCCCUUCAGCAAAUUGAGUUUUGGGACAGGGUGGAAAGUGGUAGGGACCUCUCAGAAAGGGAAACGAAUAUGAAAAACGAAGCUAAGGAGAACUUCAAGAAGUGGGUUCUUUUGGAAGAAGCCCACUGGAGACAAAUGUCUAGGGAGCUAUGGCUUAAAGAAGGGGAUAAGAAUACAGGGUUCUUUCACAAGAUGGCUAGUGCCCAUUAGAGAAAUAACUUUUUGGAUAGAAUUAUAAUAAAUGGCGAGGAAUUGGUGGAGGAGUAGGAGGUGAGGGAGGGGAUUGUUAAGGCUUUUCAGCAUCAGCUAAGGGAGGAACCAGGGUGGAGAGCCGACUUAGAGGGGCUGCAUCUUAAAAGUCUCGACCAUAGUGAAGCUGAAGCUUUGGAGGUUCCCUUUACUGAAGAAGAAAUUUUCGCUGCUCUGAUGGAUAUGAACGGCGAUAAGGCCCCAGGCCCGGACGGGUUCACUGUGGCCUUUUGGCAGGCUUGUUGGGAUUUCGCUAAGGAGGAGAUAGUAGAGCUAUUCAAGGAAUUAUAUGAUCAGAAGUCAUUCGCUAAAAGUCUGAACGCCACUUUCUUGGUCAUCAUCCCAAAAAAAGGUGGGGCUGAGGACCUAGGGGAGUUUAGGCCUAUCAGUCUGUUAGGGGGACUGUACAAGCUUAUGGCCAAAGUGUUGGCCAAUAGGCUGAAAAUGGUGUUAGACAAGGUGGUCUCGGAUGAUUAGAAUGCGUUUGUAAGGGGGAGACAAAUUCUUGACGCCUCUCUUAUAGCUAAUGAGGUGGUUGACUACUGGCAAAAGAGGAAAGAAAAGGGGCUGGUGUGCAAGUUGGAUAUUGAGAAAGCCUACGACAGCAUCAGUUGGAGUUUUCUUAUGAAGGUCUUGAAGAAGAUGGGCUUUGGGUCGCGUUGGAUGGAUUGGAUGUGGUGGUGUUUCUCAAGGGCAAAAUUUUCUGUCCUUAUUAAUGGGGCUCCAGCAGGCUUCUUCUCCAGUUCCAAGGGCCUGCGCCAAGGAGACCCAAUUUCUCCUUAUCUUUUUAUUUUGGGCAUGGAGGUGCUGAGUGCACUCAUAAGGCGGGCAGUGCAGGGGAACUUCAUUUCCGGUUGUAGGCUUAGAGGCAGAGGGGAUGCGGAGAUAAUGGUGUCUCAUCUGCUCUUUGCAGACGACACUAUUAUCUUCUACGAGGCCAGCAAGGAUCAAGUAACUCAUCUUGGAUGGAUUUUGGCGUGGUUUGAAGCGGCUUCUGGGCUAAGGAUCAAUCUGGCCAAGAGUGAGCUGAUACCAGUAGGGGAGAUUGAUAAUGUUGAGGAAAUGGCGGUGGAGUUAGGCUGCAGAAUUGGAAGCUUUCCGGUUAAAUACUUGGGGCUGCCUCUUGGGGCCCGGCACAAGGCCUUGCCCAUGUGGGAUGGGGUGGAGGACAGAAUGAGGAGAAGACUUGCCCGUUGGAAAAGACAAUACUUGUCGAAGGGCGGGAGAAUCACCCUGAUUAAAAGUACCCUAGCUAGCAUUCCUAUUUAUCAAAUGUCCAUCUUUAGAGUGCCUAAGUUUGUGGUUAAAAGGCUGGAGAAACUUCAAAGAGACUUUCUUUGGGGAGGGGGAAACACGGGUAGGAAAAUCCAUUUAGUCAAUUGGAAGGUGGUGUGUACUCAAAAGGAAAAGGGGGGUCUUGGCAUAAGGAGGAUGGGGCCUUUGAACAAGGCCUUAUUGGGCAAGUGGAUUUGGAGAUUUGCUGUAGAGAAGGAGGUCUUGUGGAAGAAGGUAAUUGGGGUGAAGCAUGGGUUGGAGGACGGGGGCUGGAAAUCUAAGGAAGCCCGGGGGCCUAUUGGAGUGGGAGUGUGGAAGGAGAUUUUAAAGGAAAUGGGCUGGUGCUGGAACAACAUGAAGUUCAAGGUGGGGAGGGGGAAUAAGAUUAUGUUCUGGACUGAUCACUGGUGCGGAAAUGAAGCGCUGUCCCAAGCGUUUCCCCAGAUUUUCGCCUUGGCAGCAUGCAGAAAUGCAUCGGUGGAUGAGGUGUGGGACCCGAGGCUUGGCCAAGGAGGGUGGAAUCUCAGUUUGGUUAGAGAUUCUAACGAUUGGGAGCUGGGGCUGAUAGAGGAUCUGCUUUUUUUGCUAAGGGACAUCAGAGUAACCCCUGAGGAGGACUCAGUGCUUUGGAAAGGGGGGGAUACUGAUAAUUUUCGGAUUCGGGGGGCUUACAAUCUGUUGGCAGCCCCUAAUCCUCUUGUUUUUCCGGGAAAAAAUAUUUGGGUGGAUAUGGUCCCUUCCAAAGUGGCUUUCUUUGCGUGGGAGGCUACUUGGGAAAAAAUCCUCACAUUGGAUAGGCUGCAAGUGCAUGGGUGGCAGCUUCCAAAUUGUUGCUUUUUGUGUGGUUGUGAAGAGGAAAAUGUAAAUCACAUUCUUUUACACUGUACAGUGGUUAGGACCCUUUGGGAAAUCGCCUUUGCCUUAUUCGGGGUCCAGUGGGUGCUUCCAGAGAGGGUCAAAGAGGCGUUGUUUUGUUGGCAGGGUUCUUUUGUGGGUAAAAAAAGGAAGAAAAUAUGGAAGUCCAUUCCGUUAUGUAUUUUUUGGACGGUGUGGAAGCAAAGAAAUAGGUUAGCUUUUAGAGGGGUUUUUUUGGCUAUUUAGUCUCUCAAUAACUCUUUUGUAUGUAAUCUGUGGAGUUGGGCUAAGUUGUAUAGGGGAGAGGAGUCCUCUUCACUUCUAGGCUUCUUGGAGUGGGUAGCGGUCCCUUAAGGGCUGGUGAGGUGUUCUUGGUUUUGUUUUUUUGGCCUUGGGGGCUGCUUUGUAUACCUUUUGUAUGCGGUGCAGCCUUUUGGCCUUCUUUAAUAUAGUUUCUGCUUUUGCCUAUAAAAAAAAAGACUAUUGGGCCAUCUAUCGGUUUAGCAUUGUUGGCGGUGAAGGUAUAUUGAACGCUAGCUAUCAUCAAAUGGGGGAUAACUUCUUGAACAUCCCGUCUUGCUUGUGAUUUAGAUUUCCGUCAACUGCUGGUUGUGCCUCCAUGUAUGACAUUGAUAACGGGUUGAUUUUUAGGUUGAGUGGAUUGCAUGCCAAAAGGUGAUUCAUGAUCUUGUCUUGGAUUUGUUGUUUUCACAUACUGGUUGAACUUCCCUACAUGGACUAAAUUUUCCACUAGCUUUUUAAAAUGUCGACACUCAUCAAUCACAUGACCAUGCUCGUAGUAAUACUUAUAGAACUGAUUCGAUCACGCUGCUCUAGGUCACUCCGCAUUGGUUGUGGCCAAGCAAAUCCUUCCAUUGAUUGGAUCAAUGCGAGCAAUCGUGAAUACGAAAUGGUCAAUGGUGUAUACAGUCAACCUCUCCUAAUACACCUCGAUCAUACUUUGCACGCUAAUGAGGUCUUAAUCAAGAAAUUCCUCUUAUGUUCUCUCUUCGGUUGUGGCGCCCCACAUACCAUCGUCGUGUGCCCAGAGACAUAGUUUGUUGUGAUGCAACACAAAGGUCAUCUUCGAGCAUCGAGUAUUUGUUAGCCCUCUGAAAUAAUUUUGAAACAGUUUGUCUAUAGUGAAGGGUAGAUCCAGAGAUAUAGAGUUAAAGAAAGGUGUGUGCAGGAAUAUAACUUCCUUAAUGGCUUACAUGAUUGUGUCCAUGCUCACCCCGUCUAACUUGAGAAUGGCUCCUCCAAAACGUUCCAUAAAAUUGCAAAUAAACUCCCCUCUAUCCAUCUUGACAUGAAAUAAACUUGCUACACUUUGUUUUCUUCUUAUUGAGCAUAAAUAGUGAGUGGUGAAGGUUUCCGAUUGUCCUUUGAACGAACCAAUCGAGUUGGCAGGCAAUCGAUGAAACCAAGACAAGGCUGGGUCCUAUAGGCUAGACAGGAACACUUUACAUUAAAGAACAUUAUUAUUGCUUUCAAGAGUCAUUACCUACUAAAAAUGCAUGAGAUGAUCGAAGGGAUCCCCAGAGUUGUCGUACAUAUUGAAUUUGGGCAUGGAAAAGUGUCAUGGCGCAUUUUGGUGCAAGAUAGCAUGCACAAAUAGAGUGGUAGCCAUAUCAUCCAAAAUACAAAAAGUGGUAUUGGUGUUGCUAGUUAGAUGAUUCGGGUUAUCCAACUGAUGCAGGCUGGACGCGCGAGUUUUAGACGAAGUUCGUGUAGCAUUAACGUAUAUGGGAUCGAUGCUCGAAUUUGAACUAUCUUUGACCUCCGUGAUUGGGGGUGGAGGCAAAAACUCAACAACGGGGUCAACCAAUUGAAAAGAUGGUUGUGGGUCAGGAACUGGUGGUGGUAUGGGUGCAUACCAUGGAGUGUGAGUCGUCCUGUUGGAGUGAUGCAGUCGCAAAGAGUAGUUUCUUAAUUUGCUUGUAGUGUUCUUCCUGUUGAUCCUUCAAGUGUUGUUCCAUCAGAGACAAACACUUCUCCAUCGAAGGUUCCUCCUCUUUUCCCUUUUCUUUAGUCAUCCUAGUUUUUCAGGCUUUUUUGCUCUUCGAAUCCCAAAAAACGACGCCAAGUGUUUUUGUCACUAACUAACCCUCUUGUUGGAGCUUUAUGCUCUUUUAUGGUUUAUACCACCAGGACAUGCAUCACAUUCCAAGUGGGUGUUAUUUCAAUAGAAAAGAUCCUUUUGGAUCAGGAAGUGUCAUGUUCUCGCGAACACGAGUCUCUGUGUUCGCAAGGACACAAGUCUCUGUGUUCAUAAGGACACGGGGUUGUUUGUUCACUCCGAGGUACUCAUGUUGUGUUAGCGUGUUAUCCACUUCAAAGACCACAUUCCACAGAGAUGGCCUUAAUCAGAUUCAUUAAUAGAGACUUUAGUAGAAUUUGUAGCCGAGGUUUAAGGUAUGGUGCAGUAAGGAUGGGUAAAUAUUGAUUAUGGAAGAGGUUAAUACCAUGUUGACCACUCAAAACCAUGAUGUUUCCAUGAGGUGGUUAGCUUUUUAUGUAACAAGUUGUCAUCUUAUGUAUCAUUCAUAUUAUCUAAGAAAUCUCUUCAUUUUCUUCCUUAUGCUGGAAUGCAGCAAGGUGUCAUUAAAGCGU